rnacentral:lncRNA from 1 species
AAAAAAAUAACAAAACCUCUGGGUGGUUUUUGUUUAAAUUCUUAUUUAUUUUAAAAAAUAUUUUAAAUUUAAAUUGUAUAAAUAGAAAAAAAUUGAGUUUCUUAAAUAAAAAAUAUACAAAGGCCAAUUGUCACAUAGAGGCUAGUGAAAUUAAUGGCCUCAAUCUGUCCAAAUGCAAUUUUUUUUUCUUUUGCUUUUGAAAAUAACCUAAAAAAUUAACAAAAACCAAAAUAAUCAUAACUUUGUAAUCAUUUUUCUUUCAACUUCCCAGUCUUUCUGUCACUUGGUCCUGAAGAUUGUAAUUUGAGGUAACCAUAACUUUGAAUUAAAUUUUUUUUUCAAUAAUUUAUUGUUAAACUAGGUUAUUCUAAAAUUUGAUUCGCUAGUGUGUGUUGAUUUUAGAAAGAACACAAGAGAACCACUUGGCAUUGUCGAAUUAUUAUAUUUGUCAAUCAAGUUUUAUUGUUUUUACUCUCUUGAUCAUCAAGUUGUAUUGCUCUUCACUCUCAAUCUGGUUUGGUAUUGCUGCGCUUUGAAAAAAAAAAACCGUUUCUGUUGUGCUAUGAGAAUAAGUUCAUUUUUGCUGCUUCACUUUUUCAGCUUAUUUUCACCCAAAACUAUGAAAAUAAGUUGUUUUAAGUGUUUACCAAACACUUUUUUGAACUCAGUUUUUUUUUUUUCACUACAACAAAACAUUAUAUUUACCACAACAAUUUUAUCACGAGUUUUAGGGGCUCAUGGUAGAAAGGAAUUGAUUAUCACGGUCAAAGUCGGCCCAUGGUAGAUAUGAUUAAUUCACCACGGUCAUAUUAGCGCUCGUUGUUGAAAUUAAAAAUCACCACGUGUAGUGCUUGUGGUCAUUAUCUAAAACCACCACACCGCCUUUCUAAAUUUCACCACAUAUCUUGACCGUGGUUGAUAUUUUUAAUGAUUUUUUAUUUCGUUUUUUUUUGUUAGCGCCUUGAUAAUAUUUGGGGAUAUCUACAACCAACUGAAAAUAGAAGACAAGAGUUAGCAAGGGUAUUACUGUAAACAAAUAUAAAACAACGACUAUCAAAAUCAGAAUAAAAAUCGAACGUGAAGAACCCACUGUAGAGGAAAAGAAACUACUCGUACUCCACGUUCUGCUGUAAAACUACCAACCACCCUCAUCUUAUAUAAUUGAAAAAUUAGUGCAUGGUUUUUCAUUCCACACCAUGGAUACAAGUGAAUCACAACAAAAUCUAAAAGGAUGGUGAAGACGAGGCAGAGUCUUGCAUGGGUCUUUUGUCACCAUUUUCAGAGGUAUAUUAGGGGUGGUUUGGGAGUGAGGUGCUUAAAAAAAAAAAGCACCCAUGAAAAAAAAUUGUGAGGGUUUUAGGUGUUUGGUAAACUAAAAAAAAAUGGCUUAUUUUGGAAGCUGCUGUGAGAAUAAGCUGAAAUCAAAGGAAAAAGCUGAAGCAGCUAUUUGCAGCUUUGGAAAACUGGCUUUUUUUCAAAGCACACGGAGCUAUAGUGCUCAUUUAAUGAAAAGACCCACUAUCAGACUGUUUUUUUUUUCCAAAAGCACUUUUACAAAAAAGUUUACCAAACACUCUGCUGAUUUAUUUCACAGCCGCUUAUUCUCACAGCAGCUUUUUUUCAAAGCACAGCAAUACCAAACCAACCUUUACUCUCUUUCUUUUCUCCUUCUCACACUUACACUUUCUGAUAUAUUUUCCUCCUAUUAAAAUUGGUGCCUUUUUCACCUUUCAUUGAAUACUUUAUGAUGAAGUUACAUUGGUCAUUUCUUAAUUGCUUCAAUUAAACUGGUAUUAGUUAUUUUGUGCUCGUGGGGUUUGUGCUAGGGGAGGUUGGCCGAGGCAGAGCAAGUUGGGUUGUAUCGUGUGACUGUGAGGGAUGGAGAGGUUGGCCAUGAGACGAGGGUUUUAUAGUGUGAAAAAGGCACGAGAGAGAGAGAGAGAGAGAGAGAGAGAGAGAGAGAGAGAGAGAGAGAGAGAGAGAGAGAGAGUCAAUGAUUGUCAAUGAUUGUUUAGGAUAAAUUAAUCUAUAAAUUAAAGAGUUAAUGACUGGAACAUUUGAAGGGACCUUGAAUAUCUAUACUUUUGGCUCAUCAUUCUAUUUUUUCCAAUUUCUUUCUCGCCUAAUGAGUAGCCUAUUUGAUUGUAUUAACUCUUAUGAGUAGCCUAUUUGAUUGUAUUAGCUCUUACUUUGACAUUUUUUAUUUGUCAUUGCUGAUAAUUUAUAUAACAUGGUUUAUCUUCCUAACAUUGUCUCAAGGUCCUUUGUUUGAAGGUGUUCAAAGAAAUGUGAAGUCUUCAAAGUGACAAUGUCCUUGUUUGUUGGAGGUCUUUGGAUAGUUUGGUAUUUCUUUGUAUAUUUCAUCGUUUUUUUGUUAGCUUUAGUUUAGUGUACAACUGUAAUGUUUGAAUCUAUGAUUUUUUUAUUGUUAUUUUGUAGUAAAUGUGUAAUUUUGUUUCUAAAUAUUAUAUAAUACAUUUAUUAAACAAUAUUUUAUUAUUGUUAUUUUUUUUUGGAUUUUUUUUUAUAAUGGCCAUUAGCCGUGACCAAUUUGUAAUCCACAACGGUUAUAGUGCAUGUGGUGUUAGAUCAUAAUCUAUAACGGGCACAAUCUGUGGUAAUAUUACAAUUGACAACGGGCAUGACCCGUGGUAGAAUCUAUGACUUUCUAUCACAUCCAUAUUACUAACGGGCACAGUGUCCGUGGUGGAUUGCAAUCUACCACAGACAUCGACCGUGAUAGAUGAGUUUUUUUCUACUAGUGUUUAUACCCACUUUUUAUAAAACACCUCAGUACCAAAACAGUACUUGGACUCUUGAUUGCAAACACUUAGUGCAUUUGUGUCUAAAGAUAUGUGACAUGUAAUAUUAAGUAAUGUUAGUAUAUCUUUUUUAUUUUGAUAUUAAUUUUUAAUAAUAUUCGAUGAAGAAAUAGAUUUUUUAUGUAAUUAAUGAAUUCUUUUUACUACAUACCAAUAUGCAAGGAGUCGGAGGUACGAGAACUUUAGGGCUUCACUUUGAAGACUUGUCUAGGGCCCCUAAAUUCUCAAAGUCGGCCCUGAUUGUAGCCUUGGACUCACAAGAUCUUGACUCUUGAGGGUUUAUUGUUUGGGAAAAAGGCUCCCCAUGUGAGAUGUAUACCUUAAAAAUAAGGGCAUGAAUAUAUAAUAGGGUAUGGUGAAGUGGCCGGGCUAAUAAAUAAAGAAAACCCUUUUCAAACAAAGCAAAUGGAACUAACUCAGACCACACACAGGGCAGAGAGAGGCAGGAAGAUCCCCUCGUGCGGCUCAUCCGCUGACCCUGCAACUCUAUUUGUUCUUCUAAAUAGCCCGUUCACUUUGGAUCUUUGACCCUUGACCACCAUCAACUGAGAUUUUUCGCAUUCUUUAUACAAUCACUUGCUGUUAUUAUUUUUACUUAAAUUAUAAUAUUGUGUUUUUUUUUUUUGGUUUUUUUGUUAAUAUACUUUAAAAAUGAGACAUAUCAACUUAGUCGGUCAUCCGUAUUAUAAUACGUAACAUAAUACAUCAACAGACAAUUAUUUUGGAAACAUUUCUCGUUUAGGUUUUGAAUGAUAAAAGGAGGAAUAAUUGGUUGGUCAGUCUGAGUGAACAGUCCCAAGUCACACUUAAGCUUUUGGACGCUGCAAAUUUAAAUUUGUUUAGGGUUUAUAUUUUGAAAGCCAGGCGUUUCCUUUGGAUCCCUUGCACGUGACCUUCUUUGCUUACUAUAAUACCUUUCUGCUUUUCAUGGCACGUGGGGUUGGCCAUGGCCAUCCUCUUCUGUCUUCUCUAUUUCUUUGAUUCUGUUUGUUCUGUGACUGUGAUGAGCUUGCUUUUCUUCUUUUUCUUUUGGCAGUAACUGCUAGGGUUUUGCUAGUCGUGUCGUUUCAUCAGGCAUGCACGUGCAUGGUAAUAUUCAUUCAUGGUAGACAUUUGGGGUAAGCUGCAUGAAUGAUUUUGUUUUCGGUUAAGAAAACAUAAUAUGAACUUUGUGCUUGAUUGGGUGGCUAUUUUCAUCGGAAUUUAUUUUCAUUUGAGAAUCAUUACGUUUUUAUGUUUAGUUUUUAAUUUUUGUGUUUGAUGUAUGAAAAAAUGGAUACUUUGGAUGCGGUCUCUAGUCUUUAACACUCUUUGAUUAAAACCUUAAUGAUAUUCAAAGUUUGAUCAAAGUCCCUUGACUUUGUACACCUCAUUAUAUUACUAUUUAUAUUUAUAUUUUUAUAGUUUUGACAUUAAUUGUUUGCUAUUUUACGAGAUUUCUAAUCUUAUAAAUUUAAAAUACCUCAUUAUAAUACUAUUAGAAAUGGCUACAAUAAAAAAAUUCAAACAUUUUAAUUGAAUAUAAUGGAUAAAAACUAUGUCACAAUAAGAAAUAAUAAAUGGCAAAAGAAUGUAUCCAUAGUGUGGUACAUUUCACAUAUAAUAAAGUGGUACAUUAAUAAAGAAGAAUGGGUACAUUAUAAAUAAAUUAGUGUACAAAUAAAAGAUUGAAAAAUUAUGAGUACAAAUGGAAUUUUAAAAAAUAUGGGCGCAAAAGAAAUUAAUACAUGGGUACAAAUUAAAACUAAAAAUAAAAUACUACAAAUUAAAAAAAAAAGGUUGCAAAUUAAAAGUGGGUACAAACUAAAAAUAUAAAUAUAUGAUACAAAGUUUAGCCAUAAAACAUAAAUAUACCAUAUGAAAUUUUUCUAUCAUUGAUUAAUUAGACAAUGUCACGUGAUGGCAAACACAUUGGCACAAAUACAAAUAAAACUUUAAAAAAUAUGGGCACAAAAAGAAAUUAAUAUAUGGGUACAAAUUAAAACUGAAAAGAAAAUUGGUACAAAUUAAAAAAGGUUUGCAAAUUAAAAAUAUAAAUAUACUAAUUGUAACAUUUUUAAUACUAAAUGAAUAAUUUUAGGUAAAAAUAUUUUAUUAUUGAAAUAAUUAAUAAUGUUAUUAAUACCCAAUGAUCUUAAUUAAAAAUUGAAAAGAAAUAAGAUUUUAAUCAAUGGAAUAGCAAAAUGAGGGAUGAGAACCUAAUUUCUCCAUGAAAAAAAGUGUACAAGAGAAAAGCAAUAAAGAAGGGUGAUGAGAGCUAAACCCUAACACCAAAGACAUAUUUAAGAGAAAUUCUCAUUUUUUUGUUAAACUAGCAAGUAAUCAUUGUCAAAAAAUUAUUUCAUCUCAAACAACACUAUUUAUUCUAGCAAACUUUGAAUAUUUUAUUAUUAACAAUUCAAACUCAACCCACUUAUUUCUAAAAUAUUCUUCUCUCUCUUCCUUUUCUUCUUGCUCAAGGAAUAUUUUAAUAUUUAGCUAAUGAACAGUUGUUCUAUAAAUUUAAAGAGUGACAGUCUGUUUUGUUAUAGAAGAAACUUUUUUUUAUAGUCUGUUGGAUAUGUGUUUUUUAAGAUUUGGCUCCUUAAAACAGAGUUUUGGUUGUUUUACAGCAUCUCCUGGAGAUGCCCUGUGUAGUUUUUGUUUUCAUACAAAUUUUUUCUACAUCUCACAUCUAUAUCAAUACCAUUCCUUGAUUCUCAUAUUCCGUAUUUCUUUCAUGUGUUUUCCUUGUAUUCAAAAUAAAAACUAGGAACUAAGAUAAAAUGGUUAUUAAACAAACCUGUAAAUUAUUCUUUGAGAUUAAUCUUUAGAAAGUUUUCUCAUCACAUUAGUAGUGAAUGGGAGCAGUAGAUUAACACUUCAUUUUACCAUUCCGGAAGCUUCAAGCCUCCAAGAUACCUUAAAAUCCUUGCUUAAGAAAAGGGGAAAAGGAGAAAAGAGAAGGACAAACUGAACUGCCACAAAAUAAUUAUUUUCUUGUUUUAAAAAGGUAAAAGAAUAAAUAACAUGCAAUUGACCCUAGGUGAAAAUAGGGUAGGGCUUUGGACUAGACUCCAAAAUUAUAAUAUUGGAAAAUCUUUUGACAACAUGUUUAUAGGUUUGGUUAUGCCAAAACCUCUUAUGCUACACACACACACACACACACACACACGUCCCGCAGCUCCAGCGUCCAGCUCCAAGAGCAAAACUCUUCAGAGAAGAUUAGUGGCAGAUAAGAACUUUGCUCGAGAUAAUUGUCUGUGUAUACAUGAAUGAUUAUCAACCGUUAAUUUAUAUGAUAAAAAUCUAUAAUAUGGUAUGCUCUGAUUAACAAUCUUGGAACAACGUAAAUCCGAACGUGAAUUUGCAAGAAAUGUAAAUGACACAAGAUGUAUCGUGGUUCAUCCCAAGGUUUGGGCUACAUCCACACUGAUUGUAUUUCUCUGAGAGUAUUUGUGAGGGAGAGAGUGUGAGAGCUUUGUUCUAGAUAGGAGAGGCUUCGGGUUUGUGAGGGUAAGGAGACCCUUUUAUAGAAUAAGGGCUCCUCCCCUAAUUACAUAUUUGCCUCUUCCUUUAUUACAUAAUUAUAUUUAAGUCCCCCGAGUAUUUAUACGAGGUCUAAAUACGGAGGCCCUAAGUAUGGUAUAAACAGUAGUCCUCCAAGUCUUCAGAAAAGAUAGUCUUGACUGGAGACUUAAAAUUCAGUCCAUGUGUGGGCCGAAGUAACUAGAUGUUGUCUUGAACUGAUGCUCGAUAUGAGGCAGUGCUCAAUCUGAAAUGAUGCUCAACUAGAAGUAGCACACGCUGCGAGGCUGCUCGGCUCGUGGCUUAUGUUGCCUUGGUUGGCUUGGCUUUGUGGCGUUGAAGGUGAGGGAGUCACUUUUAUAGAAUAAGGGCUCGCUCCUCAAUACAUAAGUGAUGGGUUAGGAGUGAUGCUCACGGCGAAGCAGUUGCUCAGUUGACGGCGAUGCUCUCUAAUGAAAGUGAGGGAGUCCCUUUUAUAAAAUAAGGGCUCGUUCCUCAAUACAUAAACGAUGGACUAGAGUUGAUGCUUUCUAAUGAUGGUGAGGGAGUCCAUUUUAUAUAAUAAGGGCUCGCUCCUCAAUACAUAAGUGAUGGGUGCUUUCUAAUGAAAGUGAGGGAAUCCCUUUUAUAGAAUAAGGGAUCGCUCCUCAGUACAUAAAUAAUGGGCUAAGUCGCCCAAGUAUUUUUCAUAAGACCCAGUUGAGGCGUAAUAUAUGGUACAUAAUGUAGUCCCCCAAGUCUUCGGUCAAUAGAGUAUGUUGGCUGGAGACUUCAAAUUAAAUCCAUGUAUGGACCGAAGUGACGGUUGUUCGGAGGCGGUAUUUGUAUACCUUGCACUGAAGCUUUGUAGGUGAAACUUUGCAAGUGAAGCUUUGAAGCUAGAGCUCUGUAAAUGAAGCUUUCGAAGCUGGAGCUUUUGUAAAUAAAGCUUUUGAAGCUAGAGCUCUAUAAAUGAAGAUGUUGACCCUAAAAACUACCAAGCCUACGUGGCACAUGCCGAGUAAUUAGUAAGCUAACUACGUCUUUCGAUUGUGUGCGGGGCGUGCCAACUCGUCGGCCGAGCUCGGCCGAUGAGUAAAAUUUGUUGAUGUUGCGUUGGGUGCGUUGCUGACUUCUGAAUCUCGCGACUGCGGCCGAAGAAGGAACAUUCUCGGCCUUCGGGUUCUAGAGCCUGAAGACAAGGCUGCUAAUUCUGUGAAGUUCAAUAUCAAAUUCAGCUUUCAAUGUGCCGAAUGUAAUAACUUGUAACACCUCACUUCGCCGAGAAGGCUAAUGAGAUGACCUCGACCAAUAAGGAUUCAGAAAUUCUUCUCGACCGAGACUUGGAUAGAUAACGAACCGUCCUCGCCGCAAUGCUGCUGAUGCCAACGGAAGAUGCUGUGAGAUCGGCUGAUUCUACGACGACAGAGCUAUCUAUGCCGAUUGAAGAUAUCACCGGUUGCUUUCACAAUGCUGUUGAAACCAACGGAAGAUGUGUCAGCGAAAAGAGAAAAUAAAAAAUCUCAAAGUUGUUGGGAGAGUUUGUGCAGGGCAAUUGUGUGUUGAAUUGGAGGUCUCUUUUUAGUUGUCUGCCGCUUGGUAUUUAUAGAAAUGUGAGUGCCCAAGUCGCAGAAACCAAUCCUAAUUACACCGUGAAUCUGAGUCUUUAUCUGUUGCUAACCCUACACCUUAUCACAUCAAUCAAAACCCGCUGUAAUCUUGAAAACCUGACCUUCCACCAAAUUCGGCUUUCAAAGAUUUAUCUGACGCAAUCUUGCUUUGGCUAGAUUAUUGGCAACAUUCAAUGCACAUUGUUGUUUUGACCAUGUAGGAAAACAAAAGAAUAUUAUUUUAUUCUUUACCAUCUCUUAUCUUUCACAUGCCCCAAGAGACCAUGUCCAUUUCAAAUUAUAUCUCAUUUCAGACGGCACUUAUCACUUUUCGAUGGUAAUUAUCACUAACUUUUUGCUUGGUCAAGUUCCAACUUGAUCCAUUCUCAUCCAUGCAGAACAUGCUAAUCCUUUUACAUAUCUUUGUGCUGAUCACUCCACGUAUACACAAAUUGCAUGGAAAGUCCCUCACCCACACGCAUAUGCAUAACGCAUGGAAGAAAAUCUGUAACACUCAACGGCUUCGAUCACUCGAGCUGAUUGUGUAAUUUUAGGCCCAAACAAAAGCUUUUAAAGCUGAUUAACAUAAGUGAUGCUCAUGAAUGUUUAUGUUGAUUGACAUGAGUGAUACUCAUGGAUGUUGUCAUGAGUGAUGCUCAUGAAUGUUAACAUGAGUGAUGCUCAUAAAUGUUGACAUGAAUGAUGGUCAUGAAUGUUUAUGUAUGAUUGUCAUGAGUGAUGCUCAUGAAUGUUUAUGUAUGAAUGACAUGAGUAAUGCUCAUGUAUAAUUUGGAGUACUGAGCGUUCUUUUGAUCACCUGGUUAGUGGCAUGAAGGAGAGUACGGGUUGUACCUUUCAUCACCUGGUUGGUGGCAUGAAUGGCUAGUUGCCAAAUGAUAUUAGAGUACCGGUUGUACAUUUCAUCACCUGGUUGGUGGUAAUAGUAGCGGGUUGCCGAAUAAUUGUGGAGUACUGGGCAUACUUUUGAUCACCUGGUUGGUGGUAAUAGCGGCGGGUUGCCGAAUAAUUGUGGAGUACUGGGCGUACUUUUGAUGACCUGGUUGGUGAUAUUUUGGGCUUAUGGGCCUUCGCCCUCUAUACAACAUUCCAACCCAUUUAUUUUGGGCUUUGCCGUUUUUUUUUAAUUACCCUCUGAUGGGGUAUACAUAUUACCCUCUGAUGGGGUUUAUACAGAUGUCUUCGAAAGAUAAAAAUGAAUUACAUCAUUCUGGUGGGGGUGUUUAUUCCUUGCUUUUGCUUUCUCUUUUGCUUUCUGCUUUUGCUUUCUCUUUUCCCUUUUGGCAGAUGGCAGACAACGCUUCCGUAUUGGUUGAGGAAGUGUGCAGACAAUUAUCAGCUAUCACAGCUGGGUUUCUUGGGUCAUCCUCGGGAAUAUUUCUUUCAACCUUACUGACAAGAUCUGCACUGACAUAAGCAUAUUUGGUAUAUAUGCCUCCUUCUUUUUUCUUUAGCAAGCUAUUUGAACAUAAGCUAGUGUACUCCAGCUGUAAAACCCUAUCAAAGCCCUUUUCUUUCUUUCCAUUUUACCUUUAUUCCACUUUUGCUUUCUUUUCAAAAAAAAAAAAUGAUUUCACAUGGCCCUGUAAAGAAGAUGCAGGGACCCGGCUUUGGCCUCUCCCACUCAAUCUGGAAAUCGAGAAGGUUGCGGCGGGUGAGCUUCUCCUCCUCCGGUGCCAUACGCAUCACCUGACUCCUCCAAUGCCGGCGAGGAUUAAACCACAGGGCGGAGGAAGGAGACGGCGACGGAGGAAGCCAUGGAUGCUCUUACAGUUGCUCCAUAUUCCAUGAGUAAAGAGACGAAGUAGAUCGAUGUAUACAGCAUAUCCCGUUCCUUGAAGCUCGAGCACAUUGGAGACAGCUAAAAGGAGAUGGGACUUUGAAGAAGAUUACGAAGCCGCGUGGAAAACACCCUGGCAGUGGAAAGUGGGCCGAAGUAAGCCCACCAAAAUCUGGGUUGUUUCUGUGUUCUCAAAGAGGGUUUUCAAUGAAGGUAGAGCAGAAGCAAGCCCAGGUGAUCGAGCACUUCGUGAAGCAAGCCUCUAGUCUCCAGGGGUCCUCUCUCGUCAACCUUAUAGUUCAACUCACCUCUCAUUCUUUUCUCUUCGCUUUCUCCAAGAUUUUGGCUGUCCCCAAUGUGCUCGAGCUUCAAGGAACGGGAUAUGCUGUAUAAAUCGAUCUACUUCGUCUCUUUACUCAUGGAACAUGGAACGACUGUAAGAGCAUCUAUGGCCUCCUCCAUCAUCGUCUCCUUCCUCCGCCCUAUGGUUCGAUCCUCGCCGGCAUCGGAGGAGUCAGGUGAUGCGUAUGGCACCGGAGGAGGAGAAGCUCACCCGCCGCAACCCUCUCGAUUUCCCGAUUGAGUGGGAGAGGCCAAAACCGGGUCUCUGCAUCUUCUUUACAGGGCCAUGUGAAAUCAUUUUUUUUUUUUUUGAAGAGAAAGCAAAAGUGGAAUAAAGGUAAAAUGGAAAGAAAGAAAAACGCUUUGAUGGGGUUUUACAGCUGGAGUACACUAGCUUAUGUUCAAACAUCUUGUUAAAGAAAAAAUGAGGAGGCAUAUAUACCAAAUUUGCUUAUGUCAGUGCAGAUCUUGUCGGCAAGGUUGAAAGAAAUAUUCCCGAUGAUGACCUAAGAAACCCAGCUGUGAUAGCUGAUAAUUGUCUGCGCACUUCCUCAACCAAUAUGGAAGCGUUGUCUGCCAUCUGCCAAAAAGGAAAAGAGAAAGCAAAAGCAGAAAGCAAAAGCAAGGAAUAAACACCCCACCAGAAUGAUGUAAUUCAUUUUUAUCUUUCAGAGACAUCUGUAUAAACCCCAUCAGAGGGUAAUUAAAAAAAAACGGCAAAGCCUAAAAUAAAUGGGUUGGAAUGUUGUAUAGAGGGCGAAGGCCCAUAAGCCCAAAAUAGCACCAACCAGGUCAUCAAAAGUACGCCCAGUACUCCACAAUUAUUCAGCAACCCGCCGUUAUUACCACCAACCAGGUGAUCAAAAGUACGCCCAGUACUCCACAAUUAUUCGGCAACCCGCCACUAUUACCACCAACCAGGUGAUGAAAUGUACAACCGGUACUCUAAUAUCAUUUGGCAACUAGCCAUUCAUGCCACCAACCAGGUGAUGAAAGGUACAACCCGUACUCUCCUUCAUGCCACCAACCAGGUGAUCAAAAGUACGCUCAGUACUCCAAAUUAUACAUGAGCAUUACUCAUGUCAUUCAUACAUAAACAUUCAUGAGCAUCACUCAUGACAAUCAUACAUAAACAUUCAUGACCAUCAUUCAUUUCAACAUUCAUGAGCAUUACUCAUGUUAACAUUCAUGAGCAUCACUCAUGACAACAUCCAUGAACAUCACUCAUGUCAAUCAACAUAAACAUUCAUGAGCAUCACUCAUGUCAAUCAGCUUCAAAAGCUUCAUUUACAGAGCUCUAGCUUCAAAAGCUUCAUUUACAAAAGCUCUAGCUUCGAAAGCUUCAUUUACAGAGCUUUAGCUUCAAAGCUUCACUUGCAAAGCUUCACCUACAAAGCUUCAGUGCAAGGUAUACAAAUACCGCCUUCGAACAACCGCCACUUCGGCCCAUACAUGGAUUCAAUUUGAAGUCUCCAGCCAACAGACUCUAUUGACCGAAGACUUGGGGGACUACAUUAUGUAGCAUAUAUUGGGCCUCAACUGGGCUUCAUGAAAAAUACUUGGGCGACUUAGUCCAUUAUUUAUGUACUGAGGAGCGAGCCCUUAUUAUAUAAAAGGGACUCCCUCACUUUCAUUAGAAAGCACCCAUCACUUAUGUAUUGAGGAGCGAGCCCUUAUCAUAUAAAAUGGACUCCCCGACCAUCAUUAGAAAGCAUCAACUCUAGCCCAUCGUUUAUGUAUUGAGGAGCGAGCCCUUAUUUUAUAAAAGGGACUCCCUCACUUUCAUUAGAGAGCAUCACCGCCAGCUGAGCAACCGCUUCGCCGCGAGCAUCACUCCUAACCAAUCACUUAUGUAUUGAGGAGCGAGCCCUUAUUCUAUAAAAGGGACUUCCUCACCUUCAACACCACAAAGCCGAGCCAACCAAGGCAACAUAAGCCACGAGCCAAGCAGCCUCGCAGUGUGUGCUACUUCUAGUUGAGCAUCAUUUCAGAUUGAGCACUGCCUUAUAUCGAGCAUCAGUUCAAGACAACAUCUAGUUACUUCGGCCCACACAUGGACUGAAUUUCAAGUCUCCAGCCAAAAGACUCUCUUAACUGAAAACUUGGGGGAUUACUGUUUAUACCAUACUUAGGGCCUCCGUAUUUAGACCUCGUAUAAAUACUCGGGGGACUCAAAUAUAAUUAUGUAAUAAAGGAAGGGGUAAAUAUGUAAUUAAGGGAGGAGCCCUUAUUCUAUAAAAGGGUCUCCUCACCCUCACAAACCCGAAGCCUCUCCUAUCUAGAGCAAAGCUCUCACACUCUCUCCCUCACAAAUACUCUCAGAGAAAUACAAUUAGUGUGGACGUAACCCAAACCUUGGGGUGAACCAUGAUAUAUCUUGUGUCAUUUACAUUUCUUGCAGAUUAACGGUCGGAUUUAUGUUAUUCCAAAACCUUCGAUUUUGUGCAUCAAAAAACAAUAUUACGACGUGGAAUUUCGAAACUGAAAGGUAGGCAUGAACGGUAUAAAGGGAAAAAAUGAUACAAGAUUUGUACCAAACCCAAGAUGACUCUUGGUUGGAGCUGAGAGGCACAAGAAGCAAGGUCUUCCUAAAAAAUAGGACACCGGGGAGCCUCUAAUUAAUUAGGUCGGUAGUUUUCCUGACUAGUGCUCAAUGAGUUGUGCUUGUCUGUCAGUUUGCAAAAAAAGAGCACACAUUAUUAUUGAAGCAAGCUGCAGGACUUGCGAUUAGUGGAGCUGUUGAUUGAUUGUUGACAUGUUUCGUUCCCUAAAAACCGGGUUUUUUUUCUCGUACAUGUCUUGCUUGGACUCUGUUAUCAGCAUAUUAGGCAUGCUGCCAUACAAUUGUAUUGACCAGAUGCAAAGGAUAUGCCACUAAAAGACUGUUCUAAACCACACUAAAAUUUAAUUUGGGAGAUGCUAUCAACUUUCUUAGUUAGAUUGUUUUAUUUAUUUUGUUUGUUUUUUAGGGAACUGUUAUUAGUAUUUCAAAAAUAUCAUUCUUCACUCCUCAUAAAUGUAUUUUUCUUUCUAAUUAUAAAAAGUUUGGAGUGCCAAAAGAGAUUUUUGGAGUGCUAAUAACAAUUCUCUUUUUUCAAUAUUACAUUGUGCAUUAUGAUUUGAAUCGUUUACUUUCUAGUUUACCUUUGCUGAUUCCUUUAAAUUGUUUCUUAUUAAAAUUCUUUUUUUUUUCUUCUUUUAAGUCACAAAAUCAAUCUUUUCUAAAUUUUAUUUUAAAUAAUUAAUUAAAAUUUGAUUUUAACAUAACUUAUUUGAAAUAAUUCCAAUAAAACGACAUUAUUAGAGUCAACUAUACUAUGAUAAUUUUGUUUCUUUUGCGAGAUAAAUGACUGAUUCUCAUGCAACAUUAUAAAGAAAGUCGAGAAGGUUGUUAACAAUCCUCUAAUUCCUUUACGAAUUACCUUUUUCUGUUUGGAGGUGGAUUGUCUGCCUUCCCAUUUCCAUACUCUUCUCAUCCCUUCUUGUUUGUGUGGUCACGGUUAAGUCACGUCAACAUUUUAUAUUGAUUUUUUUUAAUAAAAAUAAUAAAACAAAAGGUAAUAGAAAUAUAAAAUGUUGACGUAGUUUAACCGUGAUUACAUAAAAUAGAAAGAGAUGAGAAAACUAUGGAAAUGGGAAGGCAUACAAUCCACCUCCUUUCUGUUUAAUUCCUCAUAGGUUGUACCAAGUUACCGAUUCAACCAAUUUUACCACUUGAGUCACAUGAGUCACAGUUGAGGUACCAAAAGCCAAUGAGUAGACAGCUGCACGUACUUUGACAUGCUAUUAUUUCCAAACCCAAAUUCUAAUCUUUCAAAUUUUAUUUAUUUUUUCUCCUUUCUCCCUCAGCAAUUUACUAGGGCCUUGGAAGAUGAAUAAGAAAAGCACCUCGACCUACAUUAUACACGUAGACACUUACGAGAGAGAUAAUAGUAUGUUGGAAGUAUACUAGCCAACACAAAUACAAUCACUUUUAUAUCAUUAUAACAUAUCAAGAAAUUAAACGCAUGAUAAUCAAAUAAUGCUCGAUUAAUUUUAAAUAUGAACACACUAUCAUUCUUAUAUAUAGCUAAGUCCCUCCCCAACACAAAUACUGAGACAUGAUAUCUUAAAUUGGUUACAUGGGUAGCAAAAUGAAACAUUCAGAUGAUUAGACUAAAGUUACAACUGUAAAAAUCAUUCCUUUUGUAGGCCUAAUUACUUAUCUUUUCAAGUGAUGUGAGUUACAGAAAUGACAUCAAAAAGCAACAGGCAAGAAAGGGAUGCCUAAUUUCUGCUCUGCUGCUCUUCCUCCACUUGUUUUUUAUUUUAUAAAAAGAGAACAGAAAAAAGAAGACAAACUUAUUAGCCGACUUUUUGGCAUAUGAUGAAUUUUCAAUUUUGAAAAUUCCAGAGCUAAAGUUUAUUUUGAAUGACAGCAACAAAGUGGAACGCAAAGAAUGGACUGAUGGAAAUAUAUUAUCAGGGGUGGCUGUUAACUAUCUGUAAUUUUUAGGUUUUGUUUUUACAAGAAGUAGCUAGUUUCUACUGAUUCUAUCUCGAGUAGUGUUAUUUACACAUUUAUUUUUUAUUUCUCACAUACUUUUGUUAAUUUUUUAUCAUUGAUCUUUUUCAAUACAUCCGAUCAAACGGUUUAGAAAUUAAGAGAAAUAUAUGAAAAUUAAAAAUGAGUGCAAAUAGCACGUACUACUCUUUCAUCAAUUCUAAGUGAUGGGAAUCAAUGACGGAAACAGGUAAAAAAAAUUGGCUGAGCAGCUCCUUCAAGAAGGUGGCUUGGUUAGUUUAGCAUUAGAGCUCUUCAGCCAAGGAGAUGAGCAAGCAUUUGUUUAUAGGGUUUUUAGAGAAUGGGAGACACGGAAACAGCGCCCACGUUCUCCUCAUACCUUACUUCCUCUCUCUCUCUCUCUCUCUCUCUCUCUCUCUCUCUCUCUAUUGUGAAAUAUUUCUUUAAAAAGCACUUAUGUUCAAAAGUACUUCUAAUAAAAAUCAAAAGAAAAUUAAUAAAAAUGGUUUAAAAACUUUGAAUUUUAAUUAAAAUGACAAAAAUGUGUUAUAAGUGAAUAAUACCAUGAGUGACUUUUUAGAGUAAAAAUGUCAUUUUUGUUAAAAGUAAACAGUACCAGAAGUGUUUCGUUAAAACUUUCAAAAAUCAAUUGCUUCUAUAAAAACAUUUAAAGUGCUUUUCGUAAAAGCACAUAACAUGUGUUUCUUAUAGAAAAUACUUCAAAUACUUUCUUUUACGUCAAUAUUAUCAUACACAUUUUUAGUGAUCUAAAAACACUUUCAAACAUCUCUCUCAUGUUAUAGGUCUCCCUAUUGACAAAAUGUUGUGUACCUCCCCAAGGAAUAAAUAUAUACCUCCUUCCUCUCUUGUGAAGCUCAAUAAAUACACUUAUCUCCAUCCCUUGUUCUCUCUCUCUCUCUCUCUCUCUCUCUCUCUCUCUCUCUCUCUCUCCUGUUUACACCACUGUCCUGGUAACAGCUCAAAGAAGGGCUCUCUCUUUCAAGUGUUUAUGUGAUCAUGGUUUGUCUCUGCCCAACCUCUCUCUCUCUGUCUCUGUUGCAUAGUUCUCAUUGUAUUUUGAGCAUAAUUUAGUUUAAUUGUUUUGAUAGGGAAUUCAGAAGCCUGCAUGGUUGGAAGCCCUCUACACUGAGAAGUUCUUCGCCGGCUGCUCAUUCCACGAAACUGCGAAAAAGAACGAAAAAAACAUCUGCUGUUUGGAUUGUUGCAUCAGCAUAUGCCCCCAUUGUCUUCCCUCCCAUCGAUUCCACAGGCUCCUUCAAAUUCGCCGCUAUGUCUACCAUGACGUUGUCCGAUUGGAAGAUCUUCAGAAGCUCAUCGACUGCUCCAACGUUCAGGUUAGUGCCCAAAAAAUGAUCAGUCUAGCUUAAUUGAUUGACUUCUGCCAUUUCAAUUCAGUUGGUUUGACAAUAGAAGUCUUUGUUUGUUGUUUUAGGCAUAUACAAUCAAUAGUGCCAAAGUAGUGUUCAUCAAGAAAAGACCUCAAAAUCGGCAAUUCAAGGGUUCCGGAAACUACUGCACAUCGUGUGACAGAAGUCUUCAAGAGCCUUAUAUCCAUUGCUCUCUCGGGUGCAAGGUAACGAAAACUACGAAUAUAUUUGGAAAUUCGCUAAAAUAAUCAUUUUUCCAAUCCUAGUUACUGAAACAAUCAUUUUUCAAUAUGUCAUCGUUAUCUAAUUGCUAUGUCGUCGAACUUUGAUCAUAUAUUGUUGAUAUUUUAAUUUUGAUCGCCUUAACCAUUGAGAUUUUGAUUUUUGAUCUUUUUAACCAAUUUCCCAACGUAUUUACUUACUUUUUGGCCUUAAUUUGUUCCGUGCAUGCAGAUAAAUAACUAAAACCUUUGCAUCUAUAUUUUAUGCGACAACAAACAACUUAUAUAGUUGAAUUUUACAUGGUUUAUGAAAAUGACUUAUAUAGCUGAAAAUUUUACCUUGUUUAUGAAUACUAAAACGCUUUAAUUAAUUAAUGAACAUGUUGAUUCUAAUGAUUAAUCAGGUGGAUUACGUGCUUAAAUUCAAGAAAGACCUCUCUCCUUACUUGAAAACAUGCAAGUCCCUUCAACUGAGUCCUGACUUCUUAGUUCCACUUUCCGAUAUGGGAGACGAGGAGAUAACCAGUGAUCAGACCAACCCUCAUUCCACAAUUGUGGACCUCGAUGACCCGAUGAGCUCGUCAUCAUCAUCUGGGUCUGAGACCAUGAGCAUGACCAUGCACAUGGCGUACAUGCAUCAUGAUGUCGUCAGGAAAAAGAGAAGCGGGCUUAAUUACGCGUCGUUAUGUGGAAGAUCGGCUCAUAAAGUUUCCGACGAGGACAUGGCCACAAGCAUGAUUAGUAGAAGAAAACGCAUUCCUCAUAGAUCUCCUUUGUGUUAGUAUAAUCAACAAACUUUUUAAUAAAGCUCAAUAUUACAAUUUUCAGUUUAAUUGACUGAAUUGAACUCUUCAAAUGCUUUGAUUAAUUAAAUAAUUACAUUAGCUCUUUCUUUCUUUCUCGAAUUUGAAGUUUAAUUCUUGUUAAUUAAUCACUUGGUCGGGGUGUUUUGUCUUAAGGUGAUCACGUGGUUCCCAAUUCCAAGUUAUUGUUCUGUACAUUUUUAUCACUCUUUUUUAAGUCAUAUUUUAUACUAGACCAAAACAAGGUCAUAUUUCAUUCAUGAUUUUACUAAUCUCAUCAUUGAUUCAAUUACUCAUGAAUUUUGAUGAGGCUCUUCUAGUUCUUGUGAUCAUAUAUGCUUCAUAUUAUAUGGUACAACUGUGUAUUACAAUUAAAGUAUAUUCAUAGUAGGAGUUAUACUAGGUAGGCUAAAUUUUUAGAUUAAAUUUGUAAAUCAUGCGAUGUGUCAUCAAUAAAAAAUAAACACGUUAAUUAACAUUUAAUAAUUCAAUAAUUAACAAUCACGUCAUAUGAUUUAAAUAGUUAAUCUAAAUAGUUAAUCUUUCUAGCAUUAGAUCUAGGAGCACAUUUAAUCUAAAUAGUUAAUCUUUCUAGUAGGAGCACAAGUAAAAUCAGGAGAACAGUUAAUUAUAUGAUACUACAUUUGGAUUUUACUUGUGCUCGUGAUUUUAUACUUAAGUUUGAAAUUCUUUUCAAUAAUUUAAAUGAAUUAAAAUACGUCGUUUAAAAAAAAAGAAUUAAAAUAAAAAAAUUAUAAAUAUGUAUAAUAAUUUUUUAUGUGCAGAAAGGUUAUCAUGACUGGUUGAAUCACAAACCGGUUACCAGUACAUUUGCCCUGUUCUUGCACGACUCAAUAUGCAAUUCACAGAUUUAAUUUAAGGCCUAAUGAGUACCCGCCUAAAUGGUAUUCCUUGGACUUUGACUGUAAUUAUAAAACAAUAUCGUACGUGUGUGCAUGAUUUUGUGUGUGACAGACAAAAGAGACAGAAUUUAUUUAAUUAAUUUUGACCAGUCAAACCUUCCGGGAUUAGCUGUGAUAAGAAUUACUAAUCCUAGCUAUUACUAGCUGUAACAAGCAUAGUCACAACCUAGAUGUACAUAUCUUGUAGCACAUAUUGUACUAUGUCAAUUGUUUGAUUAAUCCUUCAAUUGAAAAGAUACAAACACAGUACUUAAUCACAAAAUUAAUUAAGUAAUUCACCGAAGUUUGUUGAAGAUUACUAACUAGUAUUAGAGUCAAAGGUAUUUUUCUUUAUGGGUAAAUCGCCAAAAUGGUCCCUGAGAUUUCAUAACUCAUCACUUUGGUUUUUAAAAUUCCAAAUCAAUAAAAGUGGUUCCUGAGAUUGUUCAUCAUCCAUCAUUUUGGUCAUUCAGUUAAAAACUCCGUUAAGUGUUCCAGAGCUCCUGGCCGGAAGUUUGGGCAUUUUUCAAAGCUUCGUAACUCAAUCGUUUCUUAACCAAAUUCGACCCAUAAUAUAUCAAAAUGAAGAUAGGAAAGUGUAGAAUAAGAUUAUACCUAUUUCGAAGCCCAAUGGUUGCUGGAGAUUUCCGUAAAAUAGCCUCAAAGUUGACUGGUCCAAGUGAAAACUUGAAAACUCGCCGGAAACUGUGUAAACUUUAAACGUUCAUAACUUCUUCAAUACUCAAUGAAAUCAAGUGAUUCAAAUACAAAAAUCAUACUUCUUGACGAGACGAAGUGAAUGGUACCUUUUCAAUGGCUAACUCGUCGUGGUUUGACUGGAAAACGACUUGAAAGUGGCUAUCUUGGUCUCGAGUUAGUCACUUUCGAGCCGUUUUUCGGCCAAACCACAGUGAUUUAGCCAUAAAAAAGGUACCAUUCUCUUCGUCUCGUCGAGAAGUAUGAUUUUUGAAUCACUUAAUUUCGUUGAGUAUUGAAGAAGUUAUGAACGUUUAAAAUUUACCCAGUUUCCGGCGAGUUUUCACUCGGACCAGUCAAAUUGGAGGCUAUUUUACGGCAAUCUCUGGCAAUCAUUGGGCUUCGAAAUAGGUAUAAUCUUAUUUUACACUUUCCUAUCUUUAUUUUGAUAUAUUAUGGGUCGAAUUUGGUUAAGAAACGAUUGAAUUACGAAGCUUUGAAAAUUGCCCAAACUUCCGGCCAAGAGCUCUGGAACACUUAACGGAGUUUUUAACGAAAUGACCAAAAUGAUGGAUAGUAGACAAUCUCAGGAACCACUUUUAUCGAUUUGGAAUCUCAGGGACUUUCGAAAUUGGCUGGAAGAAGGUACCAUUGGGUUAACCACUUACAUAUCUCAGGGACCACUUUUAUUGAUUUGGAAUCUCAGGAACCACUUUUAUCGAUUUGGCCGUAAAAUAGCCACUUUUAUCGACUCACAAAACUAGUAAAGAUAUAUAAUGUCUGUAUUAAAAUUGAUACCCAAUUAUGGUCAACUCAUUGUACAAAUUAGCCUAAUCUCUCUACCAAUUGCAAAACAUUUCCACUUUUUAUAGUAUUGUAGUACAAUUAAACAUUAUUCUCCUAAUAUAUAUAUAUUAAUACAACAAUAUAUUUUCACUAAAGGAUGAUGAUGAGGUGCUAAUACUAUUUUAAUAUAAAUGUUUUAUGAAUAAUUAGCCUUGCGUGUGCUAAUUGGUUUUAUUUAUUUAUUAUUUAUUAUUAGUAUUUUUUUGUCAAAUAUAUUAGUAUUUUUUUCAUCAAAAUAGAUAAAACUGACUUAAUAUUUAGUUAUUGAAAAGAUUGUAAAAAGGUGAUCAACCCACGUAGUGGUGCUUUGCUUGAAAAUUUUCAAAAUGAUUUAUUUUACCAUUUUACCCCCUUUUUUUUUUAAUAUAAAAAAUUGUAUCUCCAACCCCGUAGGUUAAAAUCUAAAAUUUUUCACCCAUAACUAUUGUUUUUCUCCAACCCUUAUGGGUUAAAAUUUUAGCCCGAGAUUAUUAAAUAAUGAAUUUAUAUAAUUUUUUUCUUAAAGUAACUUCUUUAAAAAAAAAAAAAUUAUGCAGACUAUCCUAAUUUAAUUUAUGAACAUUUUUACCUAAAAAUAUUUAGAUUUCAAUAAAUAUUGAAAAAUCACUAAACCAUCAUCAUGAAACUCGUGGAACACUAUAAAAGAAUAUGAAACACAUGAAAUUUCUUUUAAGUACUUUAGCCGUUAGAUUUAAAUUUAGACCUUUAGAUUUUUUUUUUACUGUUGAAUUUGAUCCGUUGGAUUCAAUGAAUUUAUAAAUAUAAAACUAAAAAAGAUACAUAUAUAUAUAUAGUGGGCCAGCCCCACUUAUCCAGAGGGGAAUCCUGGCCUAAAUUUGCCCCCAGAAAAGAGGUUUUGGUUAAAACUCAUAAUUGCCCCAAGGGUUGGAGCAAGUUGGGGUAGGUUUAGAACCUAAAGUUUGAGUUUUACUUUGAAUGUUGGAGUAGGUCUAAGGGUGUGAGGGAGUGGGCUAAGUCUCACACCGGACUAACCAUAAUGAUGUGGUUCAAAUUCGCAUUUUGCGAGAAUCGAACCUAAGACCUCUCACUUAUAAGUGAAGAAGAAUAUUACUAGACCAUAGUUUUAAACGGCUUACCCUUGUUAAUUUUUUUUUUUUAACAAACGAUAUCAUCUACACUAACGGGAGGGGGUAGGUUUAGCCUCACAAUGGGCUAGCAAUAAUGUGGUUCAAAUUCGCCUUUGGCAAGAAUCAAACCUAAGACCUUUCACUUACAAGUGAAGAGGAAUACCACUAGACCAUAGUACUAAGUGACUACCCCUGUUAAUUAAAUUAUUUUAUUUUGAUAUUCUUAAUUAGGGAGGGGAAUUUCUUUGGAUUUUGAAAGCUUUACCUUGUUUGCCUUCUCACUUUGUAUAGAGAGAUGCAAAUAUUUAUUUGUUUUUGGUGAAUUCUUAUAGAAUGAAACUUCAUGCAUCUUCUGUACAAAGUUCUUAUUUAGGCCCCAUAAAGAUUGGGCCCAUUUAGGGUUUGCGAUUAAUGCUGCAACUAGAACUUCUGUGAUAACUUUUUCAGCAAAAACAGAAACAAAUUUUCUAGGGUUUUCCUUGAGCUAUCAACAAGAAAGGUCCAGAAUGUUUAAUUAGGGUUUGAUCAUAUUGCCAUUCAGAAUAUGAAACUCUAAACGUUCAAAAACCCUGGAAAAAUAAAACAUAAAAACUAUGAAAAGAUGGAAAUAUAUAAACCGAGUGGAUAUGCCUAAAAAAUGAAACAUCAUCGUCGUAUUCAUCAUCAUUAUAUUCAUGUUUAUGACUCCCUAAAUUAGACAAUAUGGUUGGCGUUAAAAUUUUAUAGGUAGCUCAUAAAAUAAAUUUUUAGUCCCUUUAGCUAAAAUUUGAUUUGAAAAUAGAGAGCAUGACUAGAGAUGUUAGUGUAAUUCAUGUUUUGAGCUAAAUAAUAGUGUUUUGUCAGUAAAAUCACCUUACUGAGAAUAGUAAUUCCCCUUAAUUUUCAAUAAAUUCAUCUUAUACUGAAGAUUGUAAUUUCCCCUUAAUUUUCAAUAAAUUCGUUACUGUUGUAAAAAAUGUAAUCUUAUUUUUUACUUCAAAAUCUUGUUCAUUAUCCUUUUGAAAAGUUUACGUGUGCAAAACUCGUAUUAGACACGAAGACAAGUUUAAGUUUAACGGAUUUGAUCACUUUUCCAUACUAGGUUAUAGAUACGUGAACCGUUGGAUUUGUUUGUAUUUCAUACGAAUUUGUUCUUUUUUCUUUUUUGUAUUUUAGAAAACAAAUACUUCAGCUGAAAAAUAAUAGUAAAUAGUUAAUCUCUCGCACAGUCUAUAUAUUCUGUGUUUUUCAUUCCAUAGAAUUUAUGCGCAGUUAGUUAUGUGUGUAAACCGCGUCAUACAAAUAGCUCCCUCUGCACAAAAUGUACGCUGGUCCUCGUCUCUCUCCCGCUCCCCAGCUCCACCUCAAAAACCACAGUGGGUCGAGGAAAUCAUCAUCCGACGUCGUUCGGCAAUCACGUCAACAACAAAAAAAUCAUAGAAAAAACCGAAAAUCGAAAACAUAAUGUCAUGCCUCAGAUCAAACACAUGGAAAAUAUCCAUUCUUUGUUUUUCCAUUUUCCUCUUCGUUCCUUUAAUUUCCGGUACUCCUGACCUUUUCGACAUCAUACGAAGAACAGGUACCCAUGCAUGACAUUUGACAUUCAUGCCCAGCUUUUUUACUUUCGUCGAAAUGGUUGUGAUUUCAUGUUUUUUAUUUUCUUGUAAAAAUUGUAGGGAUUACGUGUUCUUUAAUGUUUAAUUUUUUUUUGGGUUUAAUUUGGUUUGGUUUGCAGCGGUAGAGGUAGGCGGCGAGAGAGGGAGCGUAGGGUUUCACGGGGUGGUGGGAUGGGACACAGCAGCAAGGAGGUUUCUUGAAGGAAAAGAUGGAGAAAACAGGACUGUCAUGUUAUUGGCUGAGCAGAGGACACGGCGGAGAGACCCUCUCGACGCGUUCAAGAAAUACAAUGGUGGCUGGAAUAUCAGCAAUAAGCAUUACUGGGCUGUGAGUUCUUGCUUUUGAAACAUUUUUUCUCUUUUUGUUAUUUGGGUUAAUUUCUAUCAAUUUAUGAAUAAAAAACAUGGUAUGAGGGUUGUUUUGCUAUUUUAAUAAAUUUCUGGAAUUGUUUUGUUCUUUUGCUUAUCUCAUGUUGUCGUUGUUUCAAAAUUAAUUGGGGUAUCUUGUUUAUUUUUAAAUAGGUUUUAGUAUUUAUAACCUGCAGAGAUUGCUUCUAGAAAUGUUAAAAGUCUUUUAUGACAACUAAAAGUGUUUUUGAUUGCGUUUAGCAGAAAAAAUUGAAAUGAUAAAAAUGAUUUCGUGCUUCUUUAGGAAUCACAAUGUUUAAUAAACUGUGCAAUGUGUUUCUAAUAAAAACAUUUCUAAUAGAAGCGCUUAUAAGCGAAAAAAAAUUUUACAUGAGCAAUUCCAAACUAGUCCUAAAUGUAAGUCGCGAUAUCGUAUAUGCAAAUUUUUAAUUUCGUUAAUGAUAUAUAUAGAGAGAGAGCUCUGUCAAGAAUGUUCAUGAAUUAAUAACUUUUGUCAGUUUUUGCGAUAUAAUGUGGUUUCCUAUUCUUUCUUUAUGCUUUUCAUAGUGUUGUUUAAUUUUAAACGUAUGGAUUAUUGGUUACACUGCUGCUCAAUUUUUUACAUUGAUUAUUGUUUUGUUUUAUGACGCAGUCUGUUGGUUUCACAGCGGCGCCCUUCUUCGUCACCGCCGUUGUGUGGUUCGUGCUGUUCGGGAUAAGCCUGUUGCUCAUCUACUUCUGCUACUGCUGCUGUCGGAAAGAGCCGUAUGGCUAUUCUAGAGUAGCAUAUGUUCUCUCACUCUCCAUCCUCAUUUUCUUCACACUCAUGGCAAUUUUGGGAUGUGCUGUGCUCUACACUGGCCAGGACAGGUUCCAUGGCAGCACGUGCAGCACGCUUGGAUACGUCGUGGGGCAGGCAGAUAGGACUGCCGAAAACCUCAGGAACGUGUCAGACUAUCUCAAUGCAGCUAAGAAGAUUGGUAUCGACGCCAUUGUUCUUCCGGCAGACAUUCAGCAGAGCAUUGAUGGUGUUAUGGGAACCAUAAAAAAUGCUGCCGAUAUACUCUCUGAUACAACCGAAAAGAAUUCGAAACGUAUAGAAGAUGGCUUGGAUAUCAUGUAGCCAUAUAACUCUACUGCAACUUCUUCCAAGUUUUGCUCACAAUGCUUAAUAAUUUGGAUAACAUUAAUUUUUCUGUUGCUAUGUUUUGCAGGAGACUAGCUCUCAUUGUUCUUGCUGCUGUUAUGCUUUGUUUGGUCUUCGUUGGAUUUUGUAAGUCCUUUUUUUCUUUUCGUUUUGAGGUAGAAAUUUCCAAAAAAAUUGACUUUUAAAAUUAUCCCUUAUUAAUCUCUCUGUUCUUCUUUUGGACUAAAAUUGUUGCAGUGGUUUCCAUUUUUGGGAUGGAAUGUCUUGUAUACAUGUAAGUGACGUAUACACCUGUAACUGUUUCGUGUUCAUUUUCCAGAUGUCCAAAUUUUGGUAGAAUUUGUAUGUCUUUGUCCUUUAACAAACACUUGCACAUUGAUGCAGUUUGGUGAUUCUUGGGUGGAUUCUCGUCACAGGAACAUUCAUUUUGUGUGGUGUAUUUCUCCUUGUCCAUAAGUAAGUGUUGUUUAAUCGUUGCAAGAAAACAUCAUCCAUAAUCACUGACAUUAGUGGCACUGAAUAAGGUGGCUUAAAGCAGUACCAGUCCCUAUAAUUAACGGACAUGUUAUCAGGCUAAAAGCUUUUGUCACCUCAUCUGCCACCGAUGUCAGUAAGAUUACUUGCUAAUUUUAUUUUUCGUUCUUCUGGUUUUCUGACUUCAUUUCCUAUGUGCAUAAUUGUUAGUGUGUUUGCAGAUGCAUGUGUUUCAAUGAAUGAGUGGGUGCAGAAGAGCCCCACAGCUCAUACUGCCUUAGAUGAUAUACUUCCAUGUGUGAACAAAAACAUGGCCCAGGAGGCCUUGUCGCGGACUAGGGAUGCAACCUUCUAUGCUGUUUUUGUGCUCAACCGUGUUGUCACCGAUAUUGCAAAUACUAAUUCCCCGGCUAAUGGUCCCUUGCACUUCAACCAGACCGGCCCACCAUUGCCGCUUCUUUGCAACCCCUUUGAUGAAAAACGCAACGAGCGAAAGUGUGUCGAUGGUGAAAUUCAAAUGCAAGAUGCUCAAGAGGUACAAAUAAAAAAUAGGAGUAAUGAAUGGAAGAAGCCUAAUAGCUAGCAUCCAUUUCUAAGCUAAAGCAUAUAUGGAUUUCUUUGCUUGUGUCACAAGUUAUUCAAAAGUUUUGAAUGCAAGACCUCCUAGCUGCAACCAGACAUCUGAUACCAUGUUACACAAUCACUAGACACAAAGUAUAAGCUUUAUAGCUUUUCGUAGUGUCUAAAUCUGACAUACCUUCUGUAAUAAUUGCCUCAAACAGGUGUGGAAGAAGUAUGUGUGUCAAUCUUCGCCAGCGAAUGUUUGUAUAACUCCUGGUCGGUUAACUCCAAACUACUAUGACCAAUUGUCCGCCUUCGUCAAUGUUAGCUACGCUCUCUAUCGUUACAGUCCCUUCUUUCUUGAUCUUAUAGACUGCACAUUUGUUAGGGAUGCUUUCUCGGACAUAAGUAGAGAUCAUUGCCCCGCUUUGCGAAUACAUAGUGCCUGGAUGUACAUUGGCUUGUUUUUGGUAUCUGCAGCUGUAAUGUUGUCCUUGAUCUUCUGGGUAAUCUAUGCCCGGGAACGAAGACACCGUGUCUAUACCAAAAAGGUUUUGUCUUCUAGGGUUUGGCUAGAACAACCUGCAGAGGUGGGGCUGUCUCAGACUUAUUCCAGGUCCUCCUCCACGAGAACUCCCAUGCAUUCCGGACUCCAUGAUAGGGCGCAUAACAUUUAAAUUUGCAUAUAGAACAAGCAAGCAAAGCUUCCUUUUUUUUUUUGGUUCUUUUUCCUUGGAUCUACAUUUGAGUAAUGUACCCUCAAUUUUUUGUAUAUUAUACCUACUUAUUGCUAGAAUCUCCAUUAGCCACUUAGUAUUAUGGUCUAGUGGUAUUCCAUUUCGCUCGUAAGUGAGAGGUGUUAGGUUCGAUUCUCACCAAAAGCGAAUUUGAACCACAUUAUUGCUAGCACAUUGUGAUGCUAAGCUCAUCCCCUUCCCCUUAGUGUAAAUAAUAUCAUUUUUUUUAAAAAAAACAAAAAAAAAGCAUAAAUAUAAUCAGUUACAAGCUCUAAUAAAAAUAGGUCGGGAUAAACACAAAAUAAACAAUAAAUGAGGAUAAAUCUCAAUUUACAUACAACUUCUUGUUCCGAACUUCUACUUUUAUAAGAAGUAAUCGAUUUUAUUUAUGCAUAUUUCUUAGAAUAAAAAUUAUAUAAUGUGGGACUGGCCAAUCUUAAUUGUCAAUGAAUAACUUAUACCUUAUAUGUUAUCCAAAACCAGCCGUUUAGGUUGAAUAUAUGAAAGACUUCUAGUGCAACCGUUGAAUAUAUGAAAGAAAAAAUUACAGAUAGUGCUGCUAGCUAGGUUUUAGUGUCAAUCAACAUCAUUGAAGUUGUUUGAGUGAUAAGAAAAGAAAGUGGAGUUCAUUGGCCACAAUCCACGUUACAGGAUAAUCAUAUAAGGAUAUAGUUUGACUCAAAUGGGAACAGUUUGUUCUCUUGCUGCCUGUUUAUCUUAUUUUGUAAUCCCAUCUCAAAACAAUAUUAUUUUAUUUUAUUUUUUUGGAAACAUGUAUACUUAAUUUAAUUGAAAACCUAGGAUUCGUUAUUCUUGAUGUUCUUAAGAGAGUAUCAUGUUUAUCUUAUCCAAUUAGAGCAGCUGGCUAGCGUAUUAUAGGAUUUUAAUUUAGCAGCAUGGUUGAACAAUCGCCUAGUAUAGCGUGCAUUAUUGUCAUUGUCGUUGGCCAAUAAACCAAUAAAAAAAAAAAUUAACGAAAAGCUUUCGGUACUGUUCACUUUAACGAAAAACCAUAUUUUUACACUAAAAAGUCAAUCAUGAUACUAUUCACUUUACCCUUUAUUUUGUCAGUAUCGUUAACUUAAAACUCAAAGUUUUUAAGUCAUUUUCAUUAGUUUUCCUUAAAAAAAAUCUCAUAUCCUCAGUGUGAUCAGAACACGGGAUUAUACAAAUUGUGUGAAAUGUGAGUUAAAAAGUUAAUAAAUAAAAUUUUUCUACCACUUAUAUAAAAAUAUGUAAUGUACUACCCGUUUUCCUAUCAAAAUGAAAAAUUUCUCCUUAACGUGAGCUGUAAGCUAAGAGUGCGUAUCUUCUAAUACAAAGUGAACAUAAGAGUGUUAAGAGAUUUCGUGUCCGUACUCCGUACUCUUUGUAUAUAUUUGGUAAGAGAAUAUUACUUGUGUAUUCCUCAUGUAACCAGCGACUGAUCCAGCAAAGUAUUUGAACUAAUAGCCAUAAAUAUUCUUCAAAAAACACCUUUCAAUUCAAAAUUCCGGGAACAACCACGAAAUGGUUUCAUUAUGAAUAACAUAAGGAAACCAAUUAGCUUGCCCUAACAGAUUUCUUGACAUGUAAACAACAAAUUAACUAAUUAUCUACGUUAACAUGCACAGGCAGGCGUUUAGAAGGGUACAGUAUAAUCCUAUGUAUAAUCUUAAUUAGGAUGCUUUUUUACGUUUUACCAUAACCGUUUCAAAAGUAUUUGUGUACCAAAGAUUAAAAUGAGAGAAACAAAAUUGCCUAUAUUCAAGCAUUUACAGAGGUUUGUAGUUUGCAAGUUCCAACUUACAAGUAACUUCAUACAAAUUUGAUAUAUCUAUUUUCUUUACUUGUUUUUUUGUUGGAUAUCCAUUUUAUAAUUACUUGAAAUAUCAUCAGUUGAUUAAAGAAAAUUAUAGGCUAAUAUAACAAUUAGACAAGGUUACUAAGGUAAUUGUAAACCCUAGUAAGCUCUAUAAAAGACCCGAACUCCAAACCUGUCAUUAGUUUUGAUAUAAAAAAAAAAAAUUUAAUCACAAAAAAAAAUAGUCAUUAGUGGUUGAGCUAUUCCAUGGCCUCAAAAAAAGCAACCGCCAAUCCAAAAUCACACACCUCAAUCCGUACAUGUUCAUGUUCACCGACCACACACCCAGGAUCUUUCCGGUGCAGUUUGCACAGAAAUUCACAUAAACAGGUCAUAAUUUGUAAUGAUCCUGCAAUCGUUGAAAAAUCUGGUGCCAUAAAGGGAUGCCUCCUCCUUCAAAUGAAUCCCUCAGAACAUGAUCCUCGGAGAAGGAGAAAGUUCCAGGCGAGGCCUACCAGGUUCUUCCUAGCCAAUGAAUAACAACAGAAAUGAGGUUGCAGUUUCUUGAUGAUCAAUCGGUCCUAGUUUUUGGAUUUAUUUUUCGGUUCUUAUUUUAAUUUGGGCCCUUUACGUAUAGGUUGGAUUUGAUAGAAACUUGAUCUUCUAGUAGCAUGCACUAUGUAUGGAUGUUCAUGUGAUUAAGUACUUUAAUCGUAUUGGGAAUGAAUAUAUGACAAAUUAGUGAUUUUCUUUUUCACCAUACGGGAUUUCUUUGAUUUCGUAUGGCCACAUUGUGAAACUUGCUACUUCUUCUGUUCUUCUUUUCAUAUUUUUCGUAAUUUUUUUCUUUAAAAGUACAUAACUAGUAAUACAAUAGCAUAUUUGAACCAUGACGAUACCCCAAAAAAUCGUCAGAACAGGCAGUAUGUUUUAUUUAAAUAACAUGAUAAUGAUAUAAAUAAAAUAAAACUUAAGGUAUGAGUACAAGCCGACCUUAGCUCAGUUGGUAGAGCGGAGGACUGUAGUUGGUAAUAUCCAUCAGAUAUCCUUAGGUCACUGGUUCGAAUCCGGUAGGUCGGAAUUUUUUUUUUUAAUUUGUACUUUUACUUAUUCCUAGGUCACUGGUUCGAAUCGGUAGGUCGGAAAUGUUUUUAGUUUUAAAUUUGUACUUUUACAUAGAUUCAAUUUCUGAAUGCUAUCCAAUGUCAUUUAGCCCCCAAAUCAGAAUAGGUUAGUUUGUCUUGUCGGUCUCUUUAUAUUUGAAUCAAAUGAUAAAUCUGUUUUCUUAUUAUUGAACACUUAAUAAAUCAAUAGAUUAUAAUAAUUAGAUGUUUCGCUCGAGCAUUCUUUACAUAAGUUAAAGUAGUUUAGAAUAUAACCCGGUGUCAAAAGAAAAUUAGAAUCGGAUGUUAUUUGACUUGAUUGGUUCCAAGAGUUUUAGGACAUGAACCUUCGGUCCCUUCAACAAAGGCACCUCCUGCGGCCUAUGGGCCAUGAUGCCUGGUUCUCCUCUUCUUCCCCAAGACAUUAAUUAGACAUGUCGAAGGUCAAAAAAAAAAAAAAACUCAGACAAUUCAAAUGCAAGGUACCACAAACUACGCAGACUUUCCAAUGCCUUGUGCUUGAGACAUGCAGUUGGCAGUUUGACCCUUAAUCCCUUUGCAGUUCACAUACUAAAAGAGAAAGAGUAGGGUUCCAGAACUUGUUGCGCCCCCCGCCCCAAAAACCCACCAUGUGGGAGGACUUUUCAGUUCAUCCAAUUGUAUAGGGUAACAUUGGACUUUUCAGUUCAUCCAAUCAUAUAGGGUAACAUUUCUUCUUUUGCAAGAUUAAUAUAAUGACAAAGAAAAAUAACUCUCUUAACGAAACGGCCAGUGUAACUCAUAUAUAUGAUGAAUUGGAGUAUCUUUCUAAACACAAUACGUAUACUAUAUAAGGGUCAAGAACCAAAACCCAAUUAUUUCAGUUACUUAUGUUGUAUAAAAGAAACAAAAGAGGAGUCACAAAGAAAAGUUUAAAUAAAAAGUUACUAAAUGUUAAUUUUUAGGGUUAUUGUAUUUCUGGUGAGUGAAGUAAUUAAAUUAUGGAACUUUAACGAAAAGCUCCUAGUACUGUUUAUUUUAACGAAAAACCAUAUUUUUACACUAAAAAGUUAAUCAUGGUACUAUUCACUUUACCUUUUAUUUUGUCCUUAUCGUUAAAACUUAAAGUUUUCAAGUCAUUUUCAUUAGUUUUCUUAUUAAUUAUUUGAAAGCAAAAUAGAUGGAGAGAGGUCAUUCAUUUUCUGGCCAGUGCGGACAGAGGCCGAAGUGACUUCCACGAGACGAAACUAUGUACCACUGAUUUUCAUUGCAUUACCAUAAACUUUUACUAAUUAUUGGCUUCUUUCACAUCUCUACUUAUUAAUAGCUUGUGGUUAAUCACAAAAAGAUAAAUCUAAUAGUUUUGUAAUAUUUCUUAACGUAAAUGUAAAUUAGAUUGGUUAAUUAAAAUAUUGUAUGGUUCUCUUUCACUCAAAUUUUAAUCUUUCUUUGUUCUCCAAUGAGAGAGUCAUCUAAAGUCCGAAGUUUGGAUCUCUCUGUUCAUAUAUAUAUUUUUUUCUUUUCGUAUAUUAAAUAUAGUCUUCUAACACAAAUAUUCCUACAUAGUCUUUCUAAAAAAGUUAGUACUUCUCAUAAUUAGAAAAGUAUUUUAUACGCGUUUGGCUGGAGAUUCUAGAGUGUACUACUAGCUAUAAUAUAAUUUUUGUCAAUGAGAUUGAUUUGGGCGGCAAGGGAAUUAUAUUGAAGAAGGAGAUAUACAAGACUUGUAGAGCUUGAAAUGGUUGACCCAAGAACUUGGACCUUUUCUUCUCCAUGCAUCAGUGGUCCUCUUGCUCGUCUAGUCAGGUUUUCACAAUGAAUUAAUUACAAAAAUAACAAAAAUUUCGAUGUAGGUUAUUAUUGGCUCCAUUUUAUAGCCCAGGAUUCCUCGAACAUUCUUCUUGAUUUAGACGUUUUUAGUGUAUUAUGAUUACCGUCAUAUGAUAUUAUUAUUUUACUUAAAUUAUAAUAUAUAUAUAUAUAUAUAUAUAUAUAUAUAUAUAUUAAUAUACCUAUAAGUGUGACACGUUUGUAAAAUCAUUUUGUGAAUGACAAUGAAUUAUGCCGAGAAUAAAUGAGGGAAUAAUUAACUUGGACAAUCAAGUUAAUGAAAUUCUCUAGGACUCUCGGUGCCUUAAGGAAAUAAACAUAUUGGAGUCCUAAUUAAAUGCGAUCAAUUAUGGACCUUUAUUAAAUAAAUACAAGGAGUAAGAGUCAUGAUGGGACUUUGAUUAAUUAGAUAUGGUUUGGGUUGAUAUCCUUUCCGAUAAUAGGGAGAAAUUGGUUGAAACCCUAGCUAUAUAACGUAAGAAUAGUCCCUACUUCCAUACCAAUUGAAACUCACGAAAACUACAUGCCUAUUUUGAUAGUAGAGUUCAUUGAGAGGUACUGGAAGUAGAAAACUACUUCUACUUUAUUCACUUUGUUCGCAAGGAUCAAUAGCUUCAUCUUCAUAACCAUGUCUUCCGUAUUCCACACAUAAGUUUAAUAUAAUUAGUCGAUCUCUAUUUUAUAUUGAUUUGAUUUAUUCGUGAUCAUAAUGUCUUGUUGUUAUGAUUUCAGAAUAUGUCUAACAUGUGGUAUCAGAGCCACACAACAAGCAUAGGGUUCGGAUGAAAGAGAGCCGUGAUAUAAUUCCAUUUGGUAUGAUUCCUAUUAACUAUAAUAUAUGGACUAGUCUGGGUGGUGACUAUGGAUACUGCUACCGCUAAGCAGGAACGGAGCCAAAAAUUUCUUCUAGUGGGGGCAACUGAAAACAACUAAGAAAACCGUAUUAUAUAUGGUUAUACGCAAUAUGAUAUUAAGGAUGGUUUUAAAUGAUGAUGUAUCACAAUUCCAAUGUUACAAAAAUUUCAAUAUAGUAGUGGACAGUAGCAAAGUGAUGAGAAAAAUAUAAGUACAUGAUAGGCGGGAGGGUUUUUUUUUGUUUGAAUGACAGAACAAUAGCACUAUUGCUCAUAUAUAAUAUUUGAUAUGGAGUAUAAGUAGAAUGAAUGAAUGUUGGAUAUUAGAUACAUAUAUUUUCUUCAAAGAUAACUGUAGACAUCGAAAUUUCGGUAAAUAAAUGUUGACCGAUAAAUCAAAGUUUCGACGCUCAUGUAUUACAUAAAUUCUACACGUAGCGUAUGUCUAAACAAAAAAAUCGAAAUAAGUUGGAAAAGUCAUCAAAUAGGACACGUGUCAACAUCUGGCAUAAAUGACUUAUUUCAUCUGGAAUAUUAUAUUCAAAAUUAGGCCUUGGAAAUUUCUAUAAAUAGAAGGCUAAUUCAUUCAUUUAGGGGAACCAAAAAAUCAUUAAGUAAGCUCUGAAGCUCUGAAACUCCGAAGCUCUCAAGCAUCCAGGUUCCCGAAGAAUCAAGAAAGCUCUCUUCGUUCUUCGUUCAUCGUUCAUCCUAAGAUCAAGCCCAAACGGCCAUUUGGAUCAACAAUCAUUCACCAAUUCAAGAUCAAGCCCCGACGGCCCUUGAAGAAAGUGUUCUUCGUUCUUCGUUCAUCGUUCUUCCAAGAUCAAACCCCGACGGCCCUUGGAUCAACAAUCACCAAUUCAAGAUCAAGCCCCAAAGGCCCUUGAAGAACUUCCACCAAUUUGAGAUCAAGCCCCUACGGCCCUUGAAGAAAGUGUUCAUCGUUCAUCAUCUGUUCAUCCCGAAGAAUCAAGAAAGCCUUCUUCGUUCUUCGUCCUUCGUUCAUCGUUCAUCCAAGAUCAAGCCCCGACGGCCCUUGGAUCAACAAUCAUCCACCUUUAAGAUCAAGCCCCGACGGCCCUUGAAGAAAGCCUUCUUCGUUCUUCGUUCUUCGUUCAUCGUUCUUCCAAGAUCAAGCCCCGACGGCCCUUGGAUCAACAAGCCACCGUUCUUCAAGAUCAAGCCCAAAAGCCUUUGAAGAUCCGUUCAUCACUGUUCUUCAAGAUCAAGCCCAAAAGCCCUUGAAGAUCCGCUCAUCACCGUUAUUCAAGAUCAAGCUUUAACGGCCCUUGAAGAAACAUUCAUCCUCAAGAUCAAGCCCCAACGGCUCCUUGAAGAUCCGCUCAAAUCCACCUUCAAAGAUCAAGCCCACGGCCCCUUGAAGAAACUUCCAACAGUUCAUCCAAGAUCAAGCCUCAAUGGCACUUGGAUCAACGAAACAUCCACAAAUCAACACCUUACGGAUAUCGAAUCAGAUGAUCAAAUUUGAGAGAGAUUGUAACCCAAAAUCAUCAAAAUACAAAUAUUUGUUUGUGCACGUUGUUCUUGUCUCUUUCGUUUCAGAAAAUUUUCGUGUUCACAAAUUGGCACGCCCAGUGGGACAAUCUCUACCUCUCAUCUCUUUCUUCGUUCAAGGAAUCCAAACACACCUUAAAGUCAAUGGCAUCAAGCAAGGGACAAACCGUUCUCGCAACCACUGAGGGAAGGAUCCUAAGCACUUCUGCCGCAAACGGACAAUCCAUUGGCGCCACAACCACUCUUCAACAUGCCACUUCAAAGUUUGUGCCGUUAAAGGAGCAAGGGGAGCAUCAAAGGCGACUGUCCGUCAUCAACCUGACCUCGUUUGGGGCACCGAAGCAUGAUGCUGAGGCACACAAGAUGACAACCCAAAGCAGCCAACGACGUUCUUCAUCAGCAUCCUGGAUGUCUAAAGGAAAGUCACGUCUAUUGGUCGCACAAGUUAUGACUAUCGGCGUUACCUCCAUCGAAUAACAACUGGCUCAAAUGAAUGAAACGAUUGCAAGGCUAACACAGAUUAUGGAAGAAAAAGACUUGCAAAUCGCUGCACUCGUCAGCCGACUGGAGCCACAGGACAGCGAGAACCCUAACCCAGAAGAUAAGCCUACGGUAGAGAGAAUCAAUGUGAAGCCAGAGCCAGACCAAGCAGCGGCACUCAUGGGAUCUCUUUCUAUCCAGCAGCUGCAAGAGAUGAUCACCAACACCAUCAAGGCACAGUACGAAUGGAGCUCAAAUACAUCCGGGUUGUACUCGAAGCCGUAUUCAAAGAAGGUCGACGCCUUAAGGAUGCCGAAGGGUUAUCAACCGCCAAAGUUCAUGCAAUUUGAUGGAAAGGGAAAUCCGAAACAGCACGUUGCCCACUUUGUUGAAACUUGCAACAACGCAGGGACCGAAUGGGACUACCUCGCCAAGCAGUUUGUGCGCUCGCUAAAAGGAAACGCCUUUAAGUGGUACACGGACCUAGAGCCUGAGUCCAUCAACAGCUGGGAGCAAUUGGAGCGGGAAUUCCUCAACCGCUUCUACAGCACCCGCCGCACUGUGAGCAUGCUAGAAUUGACGAGCACAGAGCAGUGGAAGGACGAGCCAGUCAUUGACUACAUCAACAGAUGGCGCACUUUAAGCCUCGACUGUAAAGACAGGCUCUUGGAAACCUCUUCAAUCGAGAUGUGCAUCCAAGGCAUGCAAUGGGGUUUGCAAUACAUCCUUCAAGGCAUUAAACCACGGACCUUCAAGGAAUUGGCCACCGCGCCCAUAACAUGGAGUUGAGCAUCACCCAUCAUGGGAAGAAGGAACCGAUCGCCGACUACAAGAACGACAAAGAUCUUGAGACAAAGGUGGAGAAGGUUACGGGGAAAUCUACCAAGGAAGCAAUGACAGUCAACACAGCUCCCGUCAAAAUCCCUACACGAGGCAAGGCGAUUCAAGCCGAAGGCUUUCGUGAUCAAGAGAUGCGUAAACGCACUUUGAAGGAGCUUGAGGAGAAAACUUAUCCAUUCCCCGACUCUGAUGUGGUUGCCAUGUUAGAAGACUUGCUGGAAAAGAAGGUGAUCGGCUUGCCUGAGUGCAGACGGCCAGAAGAGAUGAAUCGCACCGACAGUCCAAGGUAUUGUAAAUUCCACCGCUUCAUCAGUCAUCCGACAGAAAAGUGCUUCGUGCUGAAAGAUCUCAUCAUGAAGCUGGCUCAGAAAGGAAUCAUCAAGCUAGAUCUUGACGAUGUGGUGAAGUCAAACUAUACCACCAUCACUUCUGGUUCUUCCGACUCAAAAUUUUUACCUCAACCUCCGGGGGCAUCCUUCAAGACAAGCAAAGUUGAAGGAUGGACUCAAGUCACUCCUAAGAAAUUGCACAAGAAGCAUACGUCUCCUUCACAAGUCCGCCAAUCGGAAAUGGGGCAAAACAGCUCUUGUCAACCUUCAAAGCAACGUGAACGUGUUGAAGAUGAUGAAAUUACGACACAAAGAUCGUCUGUUGCCAUCACAAUGCGCGACUUCUUACCCGAAGACUUCUUCAAUCACGCGGUCAAGGCUCCUUAUUAUGAAGAUUGUGAGGAACGCCUUUCCAAAAUUGCUUGACAAAUUCACCAAUUCUCCUCGCCCGCACGAGUCUAAACUGCAUGGCACAAAGCUUCUGGUCUGCACGAGCAUAAAAGGCAACACCAAUGCUCCUUGUUCGCACGAGCCUAAACUGCACGAACUAAAGCUCAUUGCCCGCACGAGUCUAAACUGCAUAGCACAAAGCUCCUGGUCUGCACGAGCAUAAAAGGCAACAUCAACGCUCCUGACCCGCACGAAUACUUUAUUUCUUUAAAGGAAUGAGUUAGCAGGCGGCAUGGUCAGUGUGCACGGCGACGUCACCUCCGAGGAAAGUUGCAAUAAAAGGCACUACACAGCAUAAACUCGCUGCAGUCUUUUGCACAACCCCACACGAUAAAAGCGACGUACUGGAACGAGCUCCAAGCAGCAACAGCAGUACAUUCUGGCCACCAUGCUCCAAUCGACGAGGAAACUUCAAUGACCGCCGUCAAACGACUAGCCGGUCAUAAAGCUCGACGCUUUACAUUUUUGCCUCGAGCACAAAGCAGCAAGACCGUCGACACCAACUUCGUCACUUUAGCCACCAUGCUCCAAUCGACGAAGAAACUUCAAAGACCGCCGUCAAACGACUAGCCGGUCAUGAAGCUCGACGCUUUACAUUCUGCCUCAAGCUGCAAGCAGCAACGGUAAGCAGCAAAGCUGCCAGCACCAGCUUCGUCACUCUGGCCACCAUGCUCCAAUCGACGAAGAAACUUCAAUGACCGCCGUCAAAGGACUAGCCGGUCAUGAAGCUCAACGCAUUACAUUUUGCCUCCAGCUCUAAGCGGCAAGGGCAGCAGCAAGGCUGUCAACACCAGCUUCGUCACUCUGGCCACCAUGCUUCAAACGACAAAGAAACUUCAAUGACCGCCGUCAAAUGACUAGCCGGUCAUGAAACUCAACGCAUUACAUUCUGCCUCAAGCUCCAAGCAGCAAGACUGCCAGCACCAGCUUCGUCACUCUGGCCACCAUGCUCCAAUCAACGAAAAGACUUCAAUGACCGCUGUCAAACGACUAACCGGUCAUGAAGCCUCUACUGCAGUUCUCCGUCCGUCUGCAUCCUCCCUCUGCUCAAUCUUCUGCCCAUUGCCAAGCAACAUAUGGGGGUAUUUAUAGAAAAAAAAAGAAAAGGGUGAUGAUUUAAAAAAAACAAAUAAAAUAAAAUAAAAAGAUGGUGCGGUUUGCACCAUCUAAAAAGAAAAAAUAUAAAAUAAAAAAUAAAAAAUAAAUAAAUUUAAAAAAAGGGGGUGGUGCGGAUUGCACCAUCUGAAAAGAAAAAAAAAAAAAAAAGGGGGGGAUGGUGCGGAUUGCACCAUCUAAAAAGAAAAAAAAAAGUAUAAUAAAAUAACAUAUAAAAUAUAUAUAUAUAUAAUAAAAAAUAAUAAUAAAUUAAAAAAAAGGGAUGGUGCGGAUUACACCAUUGAAAAGAAAAAAAAUAAUAAUAAAAAAAUAAUUAAAAAAAAGGGGGGAUGGUGCGGAUUUGCACCAUUUGAAAAGAAAAAAAAAUAUAAUAAAAAAAAUAUAUAUAAUAUAUAUAUAUAAAUAAAAUAAAAUAAAUAAAUAAUAAAUUAAAAAAACAGGUGAUGGUGCAGCUUGCACCAUCUGAAAAGAAAAAAAAAGAUAUAAUAAAAUAAUAUAAGAAAUAUAUAUAUAUAAAAAUAAAUAAAUAAUAAAAAAAAGGGAUGGUGCGGAUUGCACCAUUGAAAAGAAAAAAAAUAAUAAUAAUAAAAGGGGGGAUGGUGCGGAUUGCACCAUCUGAAAAGAAAAAAAAAUAAUAUAAAAAUUAAAAAUUAAAAAUAAAAAAAUAAAUUAAAAAUUAAAUAAAUUAAAAAAUUAAAAAAAAGGGAUGUUGCGGAUUGCACCAUAUGAAGAAAAAAAAACAAAUGCAUUGAGAGAAAUAAAGUCCAUUUCAUUGAUUUCUCUGGAAAAAAUUACAGACGGAACAUUUACAUACCAAAAAAAAAAAAAAAAAAAAAAGGUGCAAACAAACAAAAGCCUUCAUUGAUCAGGUGGCACCUCAUCACUCGGCGGAACUCCAGGCAGAAGAGGAACCGGAGGUUGAUCAUUUGGAGCUUCAUUACGCGGUAUAGCCCCAAAAGACGAAGGCAAAUGCUGUUGGAACAAACCCACAAACCUUUGAUGAUCAAGUAAAAUCUGACCAUCAGAUUCCUGCAUCUGGUUAAUCUUCCUCUUCAUGUUUGUAGCAUAGCUAUGUGCAACAGUUUAUUCUCAUGCUUAAGCCCCCUAAUCUCCUGUUUGAGACUCAUCACUUCAGCCGCCAAGGAUUCAACUUGACGGGUUCGAGCAAAUAGGCGUUGGGCCAUAUUAGACACAGAACCUACACACUGCACACUAAGAGCCAGAGAAUCCUUAACAGCCAACUCAUCAGACCGUUUGGAAAGUAGUCUGUUAUCUCUGGAGUGACAAGGUUCCGGGCCACCACCGCAGCGGUCAUAUCAUUCUUCAUCACCGAAUCCCCAACGGUAAGAGGACCAGUAGGGGAUAUGAAUGAUGGGCGCCAUAUGUUGUCUGGAGAAGGCGGGACUGCCUCUUCACCAAGGUUCAAAUCAAGACAACGGUCGGAGGGUCCAGACAUUUUCAAAGGUGUUGAAGAAAGAAGAAGUCGGACAAAUCAAGAUCUUAGAAGUGCAAGAAGAGAGUUUUCUACAAGCAAAAAAUUCAAGUGUGCUUUGAAACGAAGUGCGUGCCUUUAUAAAAAUCAACACUCGACGGGAUUUCAGAAAUUGAAGAAGCGAGCUCAGAAUUCGAAGAGGCCAAUUCAAAAAUCGAAGAGGCAAGCUCAGAAAUCGAAGAAGCAUCUUGCUUUUCCAGACGCGUUAGCACCCGUCACGCGCAAACUCAGCUUUACAGAAAUCACGGGCAAUUUGUUAAAGCGUCAAUCCCAGAUAUCGAAGAGGCGCCAGUCUUUUUCAGCCUCGUCAGCACUCGUCAUGCGCAAACUCAUCUUUGCGGAAAUCACAGGCAAUUUGUCGAAGCGCCAAUCCCAGAUAUCGAAGAGGCGCCAGUCUUUUUUCAGCCUCGUCAACACCUGUCACAUGCACACUCAGCUUGGCGGAAAUUACGGACAAUUUGUCAAAGAUUUCUGAUAAAGAAGAAAGCACGUGAAGCCAUACCGAUCAAUCACGCAUUGGUUGCCGACACGAGUGAAAGAAUAAUACCUCUACAAGUAUUAAAAGACUUCCUAUAACUGUCCACCUUCACCUUCCAUAGCAAGGCAGACAUACAUAACCUUUCUUCAUCUCCGAGAACCUUUCUUCAUCUCCGAAAACCUCUCUUCAUCUCCGAGAACCUUUCUUCAUCUCCGAGAAUGCUUUCCCAACGAAGCCUCUCGAGUUACUCAGUGUUUCUUAUUCCUUGGGGUACCUCUGCAAACAAAUGACACCAAAGCAAAAGUAUCUCAUAUGAACAGGGUAGAAAGCAAGAGUAUCUCAUAUCAUGCUUUCUCCUCGUCCUUUCCUUUGUCCUUGUUCUUACCUGCAAAGACAAGGAUAAAGAAAACAAUAUGCCGGAACCUCCACUCAAACUCGGGUAAGGAACCGACUGCUUGGAACCCUUCACUGAUUGCCUACUUAGCACUGCUCUCGAGUACUCGUCUCUCACUGCUGCUGUACUUCCAAAGAAGCUGCCACAUCUGCCUGAAGAACAGAUAAGGCAAGUGAAAAUGAUACCUUGCAGCAUGUGGAAACAACGUGCAGAAGAAACAAGCAGAGAAGAAUGCAGCCUGCAUAGUCAACUUAGCAGAAGGAGUCUGAGAUGAGGAACUCGAGAAAAUGCCACAUCUGCCUGAGGAACAGAUAAAGGAAAUGAAAAUGAUACCUUGAAGCAUGUGGAGACAAGUGCAACAAAGCACGUGCUGAUUCAUCCGCUACUUCUUCAAAAUCAAAAGUAUCUCAUAUCAUCAGGGUUGCAAUCACUCUGGACGGUGAACUCGUUUUGACCCUCAAAUUCUUGGGUCGACUUACUAGGCGUUGUGGACUGCAUGUGCCGUUUCACCACCCUUGAAUCAAAUCCUUAAAGAUCAAGUCACCAACUGGAAGAAGAGCCCAUCAAUCUUGAAGAUCAUACCGUUGACCAAACUGCUCAGGUGUGAAUUAGAAAGAUUGAACAGAGCAACAAGUCGUCACCUUCACCUCGUGCCUGCUUGUCAUGUGUUCGAGUCAACCCUCAAGAAUCAAGCUUUAACGGCUCUUGAAGAAGCUUCCAGCCAAAUUCAAAAUCAAGCCUCGACGGCCCUGGAAAAAAUCACAAGACCGAUUCAAGAUCAAGUGUCCACCACCCUUGAAUUAAACCCAGUUCAAGAUCAAAGCUGUGGAAAGUCAACAAGCGCAAAAAACAAAUAUGUGCUAAUUCAUCCACUACCAAAGCCAAAGAUCAUCUACCACAUGAAGCUCUUUGUGGUCCAAAUUCAACCUUCAAGAUCAAGCCUCAACGGCCCUUGAAGAAAUCUCAAGCCCAAUUCAAGAUUAAGCCUCAACGGCCCUUGAAGAAAUCUCCAGCCCAAUUCAAGAUCAAGCCUCGAUGGCCCUUGGAUCGACAUCUACAGUAAGGGACUUCAAAACGCAUCUCCUACACGUGACAAGCACAUGUAUACGACACGCCUUGAAGUGGGGGCAUUUGUAGACAUCGAAAUUUCGGUAAAUAAAUGUUGACCGAUAAAUCAAAGUUUUGACGCUCAUGUAUUACAUAAAUUCUACACGUAGCGUAUGUCUAAACAAAAAAAUCGAAAUAAGUUGGAAAAAUCAUCAAAUAGGAUACGUGUCAACAUCUGGCAGAAAUGACUUAUUUCAUCUGGAAUAUUAUAUUCAAAAUUAGGCCUUGGAAAUUUCUAUAAAUAGAAGGCUAAUUCAUUCAUUUAGGGGAACCAAAAAAUCAUUAAGUAAGCUCUGAAGCUCUGAAACUCCGAAGCUCUCAAGCAUCCAGGUUCCCAAAGAAUCAAGAAAGCUCUCUUCGUUCUUCGUUCUUCGUUCAUCGUUCAUCCUAAGAUCAAGCCCAAACGGCCAUUUGGAUCAACAAUCAUCCACCAAUUCAAGAUCAAGCCCCGACGGCCCUUGAAGAAAGUGUUCUUCGUUCUUCGUUCAUCGUUCUUCCAAGAUCAAACCCCGGCGGCCCUUGGAUCAACAAUCACCAAUUCAAGAUCAAGCCCCAAAGGCCCUUGAAGAACUUCCACCAAUUCGAGAUCAAGCCCCUACGGCCCAUGAAGAAAGUGUUCAUCGUUCAUCAUCCGUUCAUCCCGAAGAAUCAAGAAAGCCUUCUUCGUUCUUCGUCCUUCGUUCAUCGUUCAUCCAAGAUCAAGCCCCGACGGCCCUUGGAUCAACAAUCAUCCACCUUCAAGAUCAAGCCCCGACGGCCCUUGAAGAAAGCCUUCUUCGUUCUUCGUUCUUCGUUCAUCGUUCUUCCAAGAUCAAGCCCCGACGGCCCUUAGAUCAACAAGCCACCGUUCUUCAAGAUCAAGCCCAAAAGCCUUUGAAGAUCCGUUCAUCACUGUUCUUCAAGAUCAAGCCCAAAAGCCUUUGAAGAUCCGUUCAUCACCGUUAUUCAAGAUCAAGCUUUAACGGCCCUUGAAGAAACAUUCAUCCUCAAGAUCAAGCCCCAACGGCUCCUUGAAGAUCCGCUCAAAUCCACCUUCAAAGGUCAAGCCCACGGCCCCUUGAAGAAACUUCCAACAGUUCAUCCAAGAUCAAGCCUCAACGGCCCUUGGAUCAAUGAAACAUCCACAAAUCAACACCUUACGGAGAUCGAAUCAGAUGAUCAAAUUUGAGAGAGAUUGUAACCCAAAAUCAUCAAAAUACAAAUAUUUGUUUGUGCACGUUGUUCUUGUCUCUUUCGUUUCAGGAAAUUUUCGUGUUCACAAUAACCCAUGUAUAUUAUAUAAUUGUAGUCUGCAACUAAACAAACGAAUUACUUGAGUGGAGGCGUUUGCCCCCAGUGAACCUUCAUUGGCUCCAUCCAUGCCGCUAAAUAGUAUUCAUGAAAUUUUAUUUUUCCCUUUUGGCUCUCGCUUAAUUAUUAGGAAUGGGUUUGUUUUGCUUUCAUGGAUAAGGCAUAAAGAAGUGAGUAUUUUCAGGUUUCUUUGUCUCCUAUAAUCCCUAAAAUUAAGAUAAAUAAAUAAAUAAAUAAAUAAAUAAAAUAUAUAUAUAUAUAUAAUAUUGGUUCGACUAAUCAUGCUCUAGUGAUAUGAUUCUGGUUUUUUUUUUCUUGCUUCCGCUUAUUGCCUUUAAAUUUUUAAAUUUGGUAAGUUUGCUUGUAUUCAUAUUAUUUUGAGUUGAUGGAUCAAAUUGACCUUAUGGAUACUGACUUCCUGGGUGAGCCAUUGUAUAGGAUUUCAUGAUUUAAAAUUCUGAAUUUGGAUGCCAUGACACUAACAUGUUUUAGGCAGGCACACAUGUUCAUUCAUAUCUUGGAUGAAUGUGUGAACUCAGUCUGCAUAAAUUAGAAAGGUUUGAGAACCCUUUUCAAUUCCCAAAUCUUGCGAUCCUAAGGAGAUUGAGCUAUAUGUACAUAUAAUAUCUCGUUCACAUGUUAAGUUUUUAUGCCCAGAAUUGGGGUUGUGAGGAUUUUCUUCAAUCACUUUUAAUUGUCGUUUGUUCUAAUCUGCUGCAUAAUUUUGAGUAAUGGAUUAAUAAAUCAAAUUUUUCCUUCAUUUGAUAUAUGUAAUUAGAUUUCAGUUCAUGUCUACUACAUUUGUCCUUUGUGUUUACUGAUAUUCGUCUUCAAACAUAAAAUUAGAUAACUUGAGACCCAAUUGAUUUUGAGAAAUUCCUCAAAUACACACAUUAAUGCCGUGGCCAUUUUGGUUUCACUUUUGAAGUGUUUUCUUAUCUUAGAAGUGAUUUUGAUAUAUCACAAUGGACAUGCUAAAGGUUGUUUUAAAAACAAGACUAUGAUGUUCUAUUUUUGUUUCUGAUCUUGAUAGACUUCCAUAACUCCAAAUAUUAUGAAAUUUUGUCAUUUUGUAAUAUCGAAUGAAUUAUAGACGCUGGUAUUUUUUUCUCAUUUUUUUUGACAAGAAAUGAAUUUAUGGUAAAUUUGAAGUGUUACACUAUGUUGCUGGAAUUCUGCACCAUAGUCUAUUUGUGACAGUAUUUUGAUAUAUUAUAUAUAUAUAUAUAUAUAUAUAUAUGUAACUCAUAAAUUCAGGAACUUUUAGUAUGAUAUACAUUGAGAUGUUUAUUUCAGGUCUGGAAAUUUUCAUGCACAUUGGUUUGAAAAUGACUUAUUGGUGAAUUUUUAACCUCGGGACUAUACUGCAGAAUUUACGCAGCUUCUGCAGCACAUUCCAUUUCGAUUUUAUUUUUAGCCCACUUUUAAGAUUGCAAAAAUUAUGGAACUUUGGGUGACAGUAAAUUUAUAUGUCUACUUCAUUUCUGGAAAUUUUCAUAAACAUUGGAGAAAAAAUUGAAUUUUUGGUGAAUUAUUUAGUCUCGGGUACGUACUGCAGAAGUUUUGCCGUUUCUGCAGCACAUCCCAUUUCUAAUUUUCUUUUAGUACACUUAUAAAAUCUCAAAAAUUAUGAAAUUUUGGGAAAUAACAUCUUUGUAUGUUUCCUUAUUUUUGAAAAUUUUCAUGCAUAUUGUCACAACCCGUCCCAAAAUAUUUUAUCAAUGGUGUGAAUUGACCAUUCUACCCUUAAGCGUUUCGUGGUGUUGUGUAGAUUGGACUAAGGAAAUAGGGGCCAAUUAGCUUUAUUCCUAAUUAAUUGGACCCAAUUAAAACUUAAGGACUUAAGGUUUGUUUUGAUUGGUGACCCAGCUGGACCACACACACUCACACAAACCCUUUCCCGUUGACCUUCUCUCUCUCCUUCCCUUGUAUUUUCUACCAUUUCCGUACACUUGUAUGGACAACACCCAAACCAGACCCUAUCUUCGCAGAUCGACGUCAAGGAGGUUGUUUUUGUGUUCCUCAUGAGUCCAGGUGGUCAUCCAUGCCCUUAGUUUGACGUGAAGACCUUGUUUUCCGAGAACCAGAAAUCCCAGUUUUGAUACAAUGUUCAUACACUUGUGAUUUCAAAGUUUUUAGGAGAUUUUAAGCUGCUAGUGAGCUUUAGGACAUCUUCACGAAGCUCGGAGAAGAAAAACGAAGUGUUUUGGACGUCGGGAAGUUGAGUUUGGCAAGUUUCAAGUUUGGCCGGAUUAUCGAUCGUUCUCCGAUGAAAUCCCGUGGAUUUUAGGGCUUUAAAUUGGUAAGGUUUUGCUCUUCUCGUUGUAAGCUUCAUUUUGGUACAAAUUUCAUGGAUUUUGGUAUAAAAAUGAAAAAGAUAUGAAGGUUCUUAUAUUUUCCAGUUUCCGGCAAUCGCAGCGGCGCCGGCGAAAUUCUCCGACAAACCAAGGAAGAUGAAGGAGAAUAUUCCAUCAAGUCUAAUAGAAUAUUCUAACGGCGUCAGGUAACACCGUUAACUUCUUUUAAGAUUUAACGGAAUGUUCCUAACGGCAGUUAAGUUUCAGUUAGGGUUUGGCCGCUCGUGGGGGGUGCGUCUGGCCGUGCCUUGGCCGGCGUGUGGGAGGUUGAAAAUUUUUCUAAAAAUAUGGGGAUGUUCCUGAGGAUGAGUAGAUCAUGGUGGUAUAUUCAAAUACCCCAUUUGAGCAAUGUAUGAAAAGUUAUUUUCUAGUUUGUGUAUGUGCUUUAAAUAACAUUUAUUCAGUUAUUUCGCAUAUAGGUGAGAACUAUCCUGAGGACGAGCGCCAUCAAUCGAGGCUUGGGGGCUACGACCCUUCGACAUACCAGUGAGUGGGCUUUUAGUUUUUCAUAUAUACCUAUAUACUUGAGAUUUUUCCUAGAAAAUGAAUUUGAAUGAUUAUACGUUUUGAAAUGCCAUGCAAAGUAUCCGCCUAUUUUAUUUAUGCAUUAGUAGUUGCAUGUAAUUAUGAUUAGUAGUUGCAUGUAAUUAUGUGAGAGAUGAUGUGAUGUUUUGAGAGCUCAUAAACUUGCACCUCGGUGUUAGUGUUCCCGCCCAGAGUUAAGGCACAGUCCUUCACGUGAUGUUCACCUCCCGCACCAUAUGCUCACCUUGGAUCCAAUUUAGGUGCACAGGCUUGUCGUACAUACCACUUUAGGUGGUUCCGACUCGUAGGUGACCCGCGAUCAUUCGCACAGCCUCCAUGUGAUUGUAGCACUAGAGCAUAUUUACUUUACACCUAGUCUUGUCGUACAUACCACUUUAGGUGGUUCCGACUCGUGUGCAUGAUUUGAUUGAUAUGAUUGAGAUUGGUUAUGAGCUAUAUACUCAGCCAUGCAGAUUGAUUUAGAGGGAUUUGGCUGAUGCGAUAUUUGACAUUGAUAUGUUUUGCUUGGAUUACUUAUAGCAUUGCAUUGAGAUACUUUGGCAUGGUAUACUUCUAUGGAUUUUCAUCUUGAAUAUAAUUUCUGAUACAACCUAUUAUUAUUAUUAUUAUUAUUCUAGGAAGUUAUACAGGUUUUACAGCGAGGGGUUAGAACUUUUGAGAAAUGAAAUGAUUUUGAAAAGUUUUGUUUUUGCCCACUCACACUUUCUGUUUUGAGCCCAUCCAGGUUUUAGGUAGAAGUGCUUUGAUGGAUCACGAAGAUUUCGACGGGGGUUCUGACAGAACAUCAUAAAUGUAGGAUCACCCUUGAAUGUUUUAUAAUUAGUACUUAUCCUGCUUGAUUGCACUUAGACUAUUUAUGCUCUGGUUAUGUAUUUCACACUUAAUCUCGCACUAGCACUCUAUCUUAGCUAGUACUGCUAGUAGUUGGUUUUUAUUCAGUCGUAUUUCCCUUGUAUCUCUUUUGCUUCCGCACUGUGCACAUGGUUACGUCACUCUCACGUGAUGACCAGCAUGCCUUGAUUUAGGUCGAGGUGUGUCACAUAUCGGUUGAACAAAGAAUAUUUAGUGAUAUUUUAAUCUCAGGUAGCUAUUGGAGAUUUUGUAUAGUUUAUAUAGCACAUCUUUUUUUCGAAUUUGUUUUUUUUUUUACUCUCUUGUACAAUUUAAAAAUCAUGAAAUUUUUCAAAAAAAGUAGUCAUAUAUGUCUAGUGCAUACCUAAAAAUUUUUACGACAAUCUAAAGAGAAUUGAGUUUUUAGUGAAUUUGCAAGCUAAAGUAGUACUAAUGAAUUUUGGCACUUCAAAACUAGUUUUGUUAUGUGAUAUUGUUUCACUGAUUUGUGCACAUCUAUUAAUACCGAUUAUUGUACAAAUUUAUGGGUCCAAUAUGUUCUUAUUUUAUGCAAAUUCUCAAUAAUAAUGGCUUUUAUUAGAUAACAUUGAUUAAAUUUUGAUUUAAAGAUGUAUUGGUUUAUUUUGCUUAAACCAAUGUUUUUUGUUUGGUCAUCAAUUUUGAUUAUGAUGAUAAUUGUCUUUUGAGAUAAAAUUGGAAAGUGGCAUCAGUUUACUAAUUGAUCAUUUUGAUCCCUAUCGAAUAACUGAAUAACCAUAUUUCCUCUUUUGAGAACUCUAUUGUCCAAUGUCAAUAACGACAUACUUUUGUGUUUGAUUUAAUCUUUUGAGAAUUAUUGAAUAUCCAACAAAACGGUUAUUUAAUAUUGUUCUAAAGGAUUAUUUUGAAAAAUCAGAAUUCUAAUUUAUAUGGUGAAUACUUUUGCCCAAUGGAAAUUUUAGGAAAUCACUCACCAAUUAUAAAUUAGUACUAUAACAAAUCAUAAAGUACUUCCAACAUAUUUUCAUAUGGCCAAAACUAUUGAAACUAUAUGUAUUUUGUGUAUUUUAUGUUUUGGCAAGCAAUGCAGGUAUUUUUCACAUGAUUUGUUUAUGCCCAAAUGUGUAACAAUCAUGCAAUUUGCAGUUGGUUCGACGAUUCUCCAAAACUCGAUUACAUCCAUUGUGUAUUUUGCAGAAUCAAGAACGAAAUAGGUAAAUGUGUCAAUCUUUUGCCUUAAUUUUCUCUGGCUUCUAAAUUAAUUAAUAUAUGGGUACAAAUUAAAACUAAAAAGAAAAUUGGUACAAAUUAAAAAAGGUUUGCAAAUUAAAAAUGGGUACAAACUAAAAAUAAAAAUAUAUGAUAAAAAAUUUAGCCAUAAAUAUAAAUAUACUAAUUGUAACAUUUUUAACACUAAAUGAAUAUUUUUAGGUAAAAAUAUUUUAUUAUUGAAAUAAUUAAUGAUAUUAUUAAUACCUAAGGACCUUGAUAAAAAAUUGAAAAUGAAUAAGGUUUUAAUCAAUGAAAUAGCAAAAUGAGGGAUGAGAACCUAAUUUCUCCUUGUAUAUACUUCAUAUGCUCAAAAGUGUUGAAACUAUAUUGUAACAUCUCACAUUGCCCAGGGGAGUGGAUCAUUUAUGCCUUAUAUGUAUAUUCUCAUCUCUACCUAGCACGAGGCCUUUUGGGAGCUCACUGGCUUCGGGUUCCAUCGGAACUUCGAAGUUAAGCGAGAUCGCAGCGAGAGCAAUCCCAAGAUGGGUGACCCAUUCGGAAGUUCUCUUGUGAGUUCCCAGAAACAAAACCGUGAAGGAGUGGUUGGGGCCCAAAGCGGACAAUAUCGUGCUACAGCAGAGUCGAGCCCGGGAUGUGGUGGGUGUCCGGGCCGAGAUGUGACAUAUAUACGUUUGCCCUUGUAUUUUAUGUUUUAAUAUAAUUAGUUGAUCUCUAUUUUAUAUUGAUUUGAUUUAUUCGUGAUCCUAAUGUCUUGUUAUUGUGAUUUCAAAAUAUGUCUUACAUCGUUCUCCAUAAUUUGUACUGUAAUGAGUUUGCAUCUUCGAGAGGACCACCAAAAACAAAACUUAAUCUGGUGAAAAUAUAGGUAAUCCAUAAGGAAACUACAUUUUUAAUUAAUUCUUUCUGAUUUUUUUUACAUUUAAUAAAUACAUGUAUAGCUUCAAACUAAACUAAUUAACAACCAGUAGCCAAAAAAGAUUUGAUUGCACCAAACAAAAAUGAUGUUUCCUGAAUUAAAAAGAGUAGUAAAGAUUAAACAAAAACAAAUAUUUUGUUCAAAUCUCAUAUAGAUUGAAGCCUGCUACCCGAAAUUUGUGGAGGUUCAAAUCGAGUAACCGGCACAGAUGAGUUAGAUGAGCAUUAGUGCAGCAUAUAGAGAAACGUAAGUUCGAUGAUUUGACUCACUACCAACCUAACAUGCAUGAUGCAAAAGCUUUGACACAAUUUGUCCUUCUGAUUCGUCCACAAUAUCUUCAUUUGUGAACUAAUUAAAAACUUAAACGAGCUAAUAGCUAGGUAUGUAAACAAGGCAUGAUUUAUUUUCGUAGGGAGAUUCGAGAAGCUAGAUUUGCCACCCAACUAAUUCUUAAUUACUAAUUCCUAAAUAAUUAAGAGACUAUUAUUGUGUGACAACUGACAAGUUGUUGAAGAGUAGUGCAUGUAAAGUUUCUAACCUAAAUCCUUACGUAAAAUCAACAAACCAAAGUAAUUAUAUUACUAAUUUUGGUGCUAGAUCGAUGUAGGUGUAUCUAAUUAACUAACAUUUGUUGAAGUUUUUUUUUUGUGAAAAUUUACUUAUUACUCAUUUGUCCCACAUUGGUCAAGUUGAAACCUUUCUCACACUUCGUAAUACUUUGUCAUUCUUACCAAGUGAUUGGUAAAUGGAUUUUGGAGAGGAAAUUUGGGCUUAAACCUUUGGUUUGUGUUUUGGAGUGUGAUAAUUAAUAUAUAUAACACAAAAAAUGCAUCUCUCCUACUAAAAUCCCACAACCUGAGUAAGGACGAAAUUCUCUUUCAAAAACAUUGCGGUACGCAAGCCUCGAUCAUUAUAUUGUUUGUUUAAUAUUAAUUUCGUUCAUAUAUAUUCAGUCAAUAUACUUAGUGGCAAUUUAUUGUUUAUUAGCAUAUAAUACUUGUAUAUUAUAUAUAUAUAUAUAUAUAUAUAUAUAUAUUUGUCAUUGAUUAUUGAUAAAUAAUCAAAAAAUUUGUGUUAGCUUAAGCUCAUUCUUUUACUGCCUGUGAGAUAAUAUGACCAACUACACGAGGACUACAUAGUAUCAACAAAUGUAUGGUUAAAUUGACAAAAUAAAAUACGAUAUAUAAUAAACUGUUGUAGAAUGUAUUGCAUAAUGUAUCGAAUAACUGCUCGAAAAAUGCAAUUCAGUUGUAAAGUCCAAGCAUUGCAGAUUUGGACUCUAGUGUUCUAUCUGAAGGCAUGACCCAUCAUAUUGCCACACUUUGCCAUGUUGUCGGACAUCAUUAGAGAUGUUAUGAUAUUCCACAACUUGAUUAAUUAAAAUUGUGAUCGGAUAACUUUAUUGUAAUAUGAUUUGUCUAGGAAAGACUCAAGUUUUGAAGUUAGCCAUCUACUUUCAUUAUCUUUAACGAAUGGAUAAUAUAUUAUAAAGGUGUAAUUUCUUUAAUUAAGCAAGUAGGUUUGUGUGGGUUGUCUUGAAAGCAACUUAGUUGUUCAUGAAGAACGAUUAGGAGCAUAAACCACCGUGCCUACCGUAAAGGAUGGAACUAGAAAUUUCGUUUAGUGGGGGAAGAUAAAAAAUAAUAUUACCAAACUUAUUAUCUUAUGGCUCAUACCCAAAUUGAUGAUGCGGAUGAUAUCAUAUGCUAUGAUGUAUCACAAUUUUAAAGGGACCUGGAUUGUCUGCUCUCCCCAUCCAAUACAAUUCCCGUCCUCUUGUAUUUAUGUGGUUACGGUUAAACCACGUCAACAUUUUAUAUUGAUUUUUUUAUAGAAAUAAUAAGCAAAAAGCAAUGAGAAUAUAAAAUGUUGACGUGGCUUAACCGUGAUCACAAAAAUAUGAAGGAAUGAGAAGAGUAUGAGAUAGGGGAGGGCAGACAAUCCAAGUCGAUUUUAAAGUUAAAAAAGUUUCAUUCUAGUAGUGAAAAAGUGAAAGUGAGAGAAAUAAUACAUGAGAGGCAAAAGAACAACUUUCUCUCUCUACUUCAUUAUAUUCUUCUUCAUCUUUACAAUAUAUUUGUUCAAAUAUAUACAACUGCAGGCUGCAGCUUAAGAUCGAAAUUACUUGAUUGGAAGCAGUUGCUCCGAGUGGACCGCUUCAUCCAGCGGCCCUACUGGUCACUACAUGGGUAGUACUGCAGCCUCCUUAUCCCUGCAAAUGUACGUGCACAUGUAUGAAAUAAGUUAAUUGUACUUAAUUUUUUGUAUUACUAGUGGUUUUUUAUCUAUCAAAAUAGCAAAUUUGGACUACAACAGUACAUUAAAAACAUUUACAAGACAACAAAAGAAACAACUUAACAAAAUAUAUUAGCUAUGUAGGGUUUGCGUGUAUGUGUAUUAUUGAUUAACAUCAAUGUCAUUUUCAUUAUUCAAUUACAAAGAAUUUUUCUUCUGAAUUUUUUUUUCUUCAUUUAACAAGCGAUAGUGAAAAUGAAAAUGAUUGAACCUCGCUAGGACUUCCAAUGUGGCGACCACUUGAGCUAUAAAUUUAUUUUCUUUUCUUCAUUAAUAUUAUGUUUCACAAAAGUAUAAAAUAAUAUAGAGACUGGUGGUUCUCAUUCAAGGUAUGGCCAUCCAUUUCACCUGCCUUUUGUGUUACAUAAUACUAAUUGUCAUAAACAUUAGACGGUCUGAAUUUAUAAAAUCAAAUAAUUUGAAAGUUCAUAUCAUUCCAUACUCGUAACAUUUAAUGUUAUAUAUAAACGAAGAAAGUGAAAAGUAUGAAAUGAUAUAUGAAUGGCCAAUGAACAGUGCUUUUCUUCGGUCGUCUUUCCAUCUUUGGGACCAAGAAAGCAACUUCUAGUUGAUUAGAUGGAAAAAGAAAAGAUUUCUAAAGAACACGUAUUAUAUUUAAAUAGUACUCUUAAUAAAUAUUUCUUUUUUGUGAUGUCGACUAGUAAAUUAAGCAAAAAGAAAGAAAAAGAAUAUUUGAUUUCCUUUUUCUUUUUAUCAAAGUGAAAAAGAAGACAAUUAUAAGUCACUACUCACUAGCAAACUUAUUAUGAAAGUGAAAAGGCAUGAAUGUAUUAUGCUCCAGAAGUCAUGCGUGCCUAAAACAUUACCCCACUUCCAUUAUUUGAUUUUCUUUUUCUUUUCAUCAAAUUGUAUUCUAUUUUAUUUGCCAAAGUCUGGGGUGUUUCCCACUUCGAAAAAUAGGGCUAAUCUUCAGUAAAUUCCAAAGGAAAAAGAUUCUUUUAUCUUCUUUUGUUUCUUCCCUUGCUUUUCUUUCUAUUUGAACGGUUAUAGUUAAAUCACGUCAACAUCUUAUAUUAAUUUUUUAUAAAAAGAGAAAGACAAAAUAGAGAGCGUGAGUAGGGGAUGGAAGGAGAUGGAAAGAGGAGGGAAGAGAAUCCUAGUUCAAUUCUAAAACAGAUAAAAACAUUUCAGUCCACCCUUUACAAAUUGCACUAUUUGAUUUCAACUUUGUCAUAUUUGUUGUAAUUUUUUUAGUCCAAUAUCGAUAUUAUCUAUACUAAGGAUUUAGGGAGUGGUAUUGCUAACGUGAUUCAAAUUCGCUUUUGACAAGAAUCAAACUUAAAACCUCUCACUUACAAAUGAAGAUGAAUAUUUUCAAACCGUAUUAUUAAAGGACCAUAUUUAUUGCAAUUAGACCGCUUGGUUAUGUCGACAUCUUUGCACGAUUUGUCAAACAACCCAUUUGGUUUAUUGGGCAUAUGUCUACACUAUGGGGUAAAAAAGGGAGUUAAUCCUUACAAUGAUUAGAUAAAAUGUAUUUCAAUUUAUUUUGACCAAAAUCAAACAUAAAAACUCACAGUCACAUAUGAAGAGGAAUAUCACUAUAUCGUAAUAUUAAGUGACAAUUUUUUAGAAUACUUAAACACAGUCACACGUAUCUAUCUUGUGUCAUUUAAAUAAUAAUUUAAAAGUGAAAUUAUCAAUUUUGUCAUUUAUCUUUAUUAUGAAACAUGAAAUAAUAUACUGUGUAGUUUGUGUUUCUGUAAUCAUAAAAAUUUAUGCAUCAUGGGGUACGUAUAGUUGGUGUGUGCAAAUAUUAAAACAGAGUUGAGAAUCUUCAUAAAUAAAUAAUAGGGGUUUAAGUGCUUUUGCUGCAAGCACUUACAUGAUUUUAGCACCGCUUAAAUUUGGACAAUUGUGAGGACCAGGAGCAUGGUAUGCAACUGCAAGAAUUGUGAGAGCUCCAUGUGUCCCCCCAGCACAAUGCAAGUGUGCCACAUACACCUUCCCUCCCAUUUGCAGGGUCCCCAGAUCGAUUCCAUUCUCGGAAUAAUCAAAAGACAUCACAUGAUCUUCUCUAAACACUUUGUAGAUCUCAACUAAAUUAAAAUAUUUUAAUAAACCCCCCUUUUUCAAUUGUUACAUGAAAUUUACUUUACAGUUUGGUAUUUUCAUAUAAUUGGGGCACACGUAGGGGCACGUAAUAGCUUGUGAUUCAACAACACUUUGUGUUUAUAAUUUUAAUUAUUUAGAUACGUGUCUAUCAGAUUGCUUAAGGGAAGGGAUUCCCAUUUUUUGAAAAAAAUGGGGAUUAGGUGUGGGGCCCACUCCACAUCGAAUUUCAACGAUUUGAACCGUCUAUUUUGUUAGUCUCGAUUCAUAGAUCAUCCUUGCAAAAAUUCAAUUCAAUCCGAAACCGUUUGCCUAUUUAAUUAUCAAUAUCAAAUUUCAUUUUUUCUUAUAUAACAAAGUAUUUGUUCAUUUCCUUAAACCCAAUUAGAUGUCUUAAACAUUUCCGAUUUAGCUAAUAUUUUGUAAGGAUGAUCUAUGAAUCGAGACUAACAAAAUAGACGGUUCGGAUCGUUGAAAUUCGAUGUGGAGUGGGCCCCACACCUAAUCCCCAUUUUUUUCAAAAAAUUGGGAUCCCUUCCCUUAAGCAAUCUAACGUGUCUAUUUAUGAUUGAGUAAAAAUAAAAGUUGUUAAAUUUAUAGCAACCAAGUAGUGUUCCACAUAAUUUCUUGAAUGAAUAACAAUACAUCCUAUUAUUUUUUUUGUUUACAAACCAAUGACAUGAAUCAGUUGUUCAUACUUACACAUGCUUAACUAUUUCAAAAGUGAGACAUUUCAUGAACUCUUUGUCACCUUAUGUUUUAACAUAAUAUUUUAUAAUGUUGGCACGGUAACGUUAAAUUGCGAGAUGACUUAUAAUUCAUAUAAAGUCUCACUUUCAUCUAUGCUACACAAGACAUGUUAAGGGAAUUCUGUCCAAAGUGGAACUCUUCAUAAACUCUCUACCACUUCACAGUUUAACGUCUACUCUCCUACCAACAUUAUAAAGUAUUGUGUCUGUUGAUGCACAAAAUCAGUGGGGACUUUGGUACAACAGAAAGUGUUAAGUUUGUGACCUUAGCUAGAUUGAUCCGGUCACUAGUGUGGAUAAGUAUGUAAAUGGAUAGAGACAGGGAAGCAAACACAAGAUGUACGUGGUUCACCCAGAUUGGCUACGUCCACGGAGUAGAGGAGUUCUCAUUAAUUGUGAGGGGUUUACACAAGUACAUAGGUUCAAGCUCUCUUUUAGUGAGUACUAGUUAAUGAUUUAGUACAAAUGACAUUAGGAAAUAUUGUGAGAGAAUCAUCUAUAUUUAUAGAAGAGAGUUUCUAGUUUCAUUCUGACAUUGACACGUGUCAUGUUGUGAUUGGCUUCUGAUGUUGACACGUGUCGCGCUAUGAUUGGCUUCUGAUGUCGACAAUGUCGCGCUGUGAUUGACCUCCUGGUUGGAGGGAAACUCUUCUAGGUCCUUGAUAGUAUAACGUUGACCGGUGCUCAGUAGUUUCGGGAUUAGUCAAGUAUGGUACAAACAGUGCUCCCCUAAGUUCUCGAGUGAAGGAAGUUCCUCGGUUGAGGACUUGCAAGAUCCAAGCCAUUGAGUAAUCACAAAACUUCUAAGUACCGAAGUGUGGUAUCAUUUUCACUUGCCUUAUGUGUCUCAUACGUAGAUGUGACAUUUUCUCUGGAAGUACUUUUCCUCCAUCCAGGGGUGAUAUCUUUAACCGAUGAAGAUGCACAAGGUAAUGUAUCAAUUUCACUUGAAGCUUACUUGUAGUUUCGGGCUUGGUCAAGUGCGAUACAAAACCCUACAGUAGGAGUCCCCCAAGUCGCCGAGCUAGGAGAUUUGCCGAAAGAGGUAACAAACAAGGUAAGCAAUCAGACUUCUAAGCAAGCAAUCUGGAUCAGAGGUUUGACUUCGGCUUCCGGUUGAUUGUUCUUCUUCUCCUUGUGUCGUAAACAGCAACAAGGAUAAGGAGAAGCAAAUGGAGAAGAGAUGAUAUGAGAUACUUUUGCUUUUGAAGAAGUAACUUUCCACAAGCUUAUUCUUGAAUUGGGCUUGAGGGUUUUCUGGUUUCCUCCAGAGUAUAAGGCCGACUCAAGAAUUUGAGGGUCAAAACAAGUACAUCAAAUCAAUAGUGCGUUCGACCUUAAUGAUAUGGGAUACUUUUGCUGUUGACGAAGUAAUAGAUGAAUCGGCAUGUGUUCUGUUGUGCUUGUCUCCACAUGCUUCCUUGUAUCCUUCUCACUUGCCUUAUAUGUUCCUCAAACAGAUGUGGUAUCUUUUCUGGAAGCAUAAGAUGUUGAAGAAGAGCACUCGAGAGCAAUGCCAGGUAAGUAGUCAGGCAAGAGGUUCCAAGCAGUCAGUUCCUGACUUGAAACUUAAUUCCAAGUGCUGACUGAUUGUUCUCUUUCUCUUUGUCUUGCAGGUAAGAACAAGGGUAAAGGAAAAGAUAGGGAAAAAGCAUGAUAUGAGAUACUCUUGCUUUUGACCUUGAUGAUAUGAGAUACUCUUGCUCUGGUGUGGCUAGUUUGCAUAGGUAUUAUUGGGGGGAAGAAAGCUGAGUAUUUCGAGAGGCUUCGUUGGGAGUGCCCUCUCAGAUAUGAGGAAGGGUUGAGCAUUUUUGCAGAUCUGCCUGUCCGUGGAGGAUGGAGGUCGACAUAUAUAGGAGUUUCCCUAACAACAAGUAGUAAUGCUAUUCCUUUACCCUUUUUGGUUGUAGCAAUGUAGUGGGAGCUGCAAGCUUCACGUGUUUUAACUUUGUAAAAGCACUUUGAAAAAAUGGUAUGCGGUAUCUGGAAAACUGGUGUUGCGUGUGAAUAUUGCAUACAAGCUUUAUCCAAGGAAAUCUGAUUCUCGAAGUUCGGAGAGCGAUGCCUCUUCGGUUUUCAAACAAGCAAUCCUGUCGGGGAUCUGGCUCUCGAGAUUCGGAGAACAGUGCCUCUUCGAUUUUUGCGAAAGCAAUCAUGUUGGGAGUUUGGCUCUUAAGAUUUGAAGAGAGGUGCCUCUUCGAUUUUUGAGAAAGUAAUCCUGUUGGGAGUCUGGCUCUCGAGAUUCGGAAGGCGGUGCCUCUUCAAUUUUUGAGCAAGUAAUAAUGUUAUUCCUUUACCCUUCUUGAUCAUAGCAAUGUAGUGGGAGCUGCAAGCUUCACAUGUUUUAACUUUGUCAUAACGCUUUGAAAAAGUGGCAUGCGGUAUCUGGAAAGCUGAUGUUGCGUGUGAAGAUUGCAGACAAGCUUUAUCCAAGGAAAUCUGAUUCUUGAAGUUCGGAGAGUGAUGCCUCUUCGGUUUUCGAACAAGCAAUCCUGUCGAGGAUCUGGCUCUCGAGAUUCGAAGAACAGUGCCUCUUCGAUUUUUGAGCUUCUAGCUCAUUGACUUUAGCUUGAAGAGCAACCCUCUUUCCUUCAUUCUUUCGUUGUUUCGCACUAGGUGCAAGAGGGGUGUCAUUCUGUGUGUUGUGGCUUCCUUCGCUCUCCAUGUUGGAGAUGGAUGCCUGGUCAAAAGAAAGCGUACGAAUUGUGGAAACCAGCUUGACAAAGCUGAAGAGAGUGGGAAUAAGCGUCGUUCCCACAGACGGCGCCAAAUCUUGAUGCACAAAAUCAAUGGGGACUUUGGUACAACAGAAAAUGUUAAGUUUGUGACCUUCGCUAGAUUGCUCCGGUCACUAGUGUGGAUAAGUAUGUAAAUGGAUAGAGACAGGGAAACAAGCACAAGAUGUACAUGGUUUACCUAGAUUGGCUACGUCCACGGAGUAGAGGAGUUCUUAUUAAUUGUGAAGGGUUUACAUAAGUACAUAGGUUCAAGCUUUCCUUUAGUGAGUACUAGUGAAUGAUUUAGUACAAAUGACAUUAGUAAAUAUUGUGAGAGAAUGAUCUCUAUUUAUAGAAGAGAGUUUCUAGUUUCAUUCUGACAUUGACACGUGUCGUGUUGUGAUUGGCUUCUGAUGUCGACACGUGUCGCGCUAUGAUUGGCUUCUGAUGUCGACACGUGUCGCGCUGUGAUUGGUCUCCUGGUUUGAGGAAAACUCUUUUGGGUCCUUGACGGUAUAACGUUGACCGGUGCUCAGUAGUUUCGGGAUUGGUCAAGUACAGUACAAACAGUGUCAAAAACAUAAAAUGAUAAAAAGAGCUAUCGAAAGCUCCAUUUUAAGAGAAUCCCCUUAGCAUUACUCAUGUUAAAAUCUUUAGUAGCAAAGUGAUACCAUGUUCUAUGCAACUUCAAAGAUUGCGAAUUUGUUCACAAUCCAAUGCACUUGAACGUACCGUGUAAAGAUGUGUCAUAAAAUUCUUCAAACCGAAUGGGUUACGGAAUUAUUAACACUAAUUACCAGCUAAUCUACGCAUUAGAGAAAUUAAUUAAUUUAUCAUUAUCUCAGAAAAUAUCUCUGCAAAAUUAAACAGAAAAAAAAUUAAAAAAACAGAAAUUUAGGAAAACAAGGGGCUGAUACAUAGUAUUUAGUAAAUUGGAAAAGAUUUACAGCGGGACGUGGAACAUGGAAGUGCGUGCGCGUGUCAAAGCGGAAGUACGUGGGAGACUGAGACCGCUUGACUACGAUCUAAGAAGUUGUCAGAUAAAACGGUCCCCUUUUUCGUCGUUUUAUAUUUUAAUUAUUUUAUUGGUUGUCGCGUGACUGAGUCUCUGCGGGCUGCACUGCCCAUAGCUUCGCGUCGAAACCGUUAUUUUCUUAACCUGCGCCCCCUGUUUAUUCUAACCAAACCCCCAACUGUUCACUUUGGUUAGGUUAAUCUUUUUGCUGAAUACUCCCCAAACUGUCUGGUAUUUAACCCUUUUGCAAUUGUAUCCUUUCUUCCUUAAGGAAUCUUUUGAUUAUGUGGCUAAUUACAAUUUACAAUUAGGCAGGUGCUUUGUACUUGAUCAAAAGCUUUUAAGGAAUAAUUGCAUUUAAUUUAAUAAAAAUCCAAUCCAAAUUCAUUAUGCCCAGAAAUAUUCACAUGCGUGAAUGAAUAAUAUUUUAAUUUUCUUGCUUGCACUUUAUGUUACUACACAAAAAUCAAUGAUUAAUUCCCCAAAAUAAAUUAUUAUGAUUUAUGCAAUGACAAUGUGAUUAAGAAUAUUGUCUAAAUCACAUACAACCAUAUAAGAAACUUAUAACAAAUAUACGUUUAAAAUGAAAUCGAAAUACCAAUAAAAUGCUAUCUCAAUUUUUUGAAAAGAACUAUCGUGACAUUUAGAUCUUAUGAUCAGGUAUUGUAAAAAUCAUGUUGCAUACAAUGAAUGCAGACAAAAAAUUAUGUCCAAUUGGCUUACUCCUGUUCAAUUAGUAAGUAGUUAAAAAUACGAUGAAAAUGAUAAAAAUUACAUACUAAAUAUAUUGUUCAAUCUAAAAGUUGAACGUGAGUUGAAGAAUUAAAAAAAAAAAAGUGUAAAUAUCAUGUUGAUUUACCUCUUAAACAAAGAGUAGCGUUUGUCGACCUACCGUAUCGUUUAUAUGCAUGGACCAACUCAUUGGAAUGGAAUCAAUAGCAUAUAUAGUUAACGAUCAAUUACAAUAUAAUCAAUAAAUAACACGCGUUGCAGUCGUGUAGCCCACAACACAAAUAACCAAAAAUGUAGGGGCACGAAUGAAAAUAUCGAAAUAAAGAAGGGAAGUAUCGCGGGAGCUGGAGCAUCUUCUCCUCCCCAUUCACUAUAAAUAGAUAACUCGAGUGAAGCUAGGUUUGCCGAAUUGGGAAGCGAAACGCAGCUUACAAGAAAAGAAAAACAAAACCCUCUCUCUUCUCUUUCUCUCUCCUCUGGUCUCCAAAUCUUCUCACUUUCUCUCUCUAAAACCUCAGCCUGAUCAACAACCAUGGCAGCAACUUCAAGAAGAUCCUCAAGCGGCUGCGGCCCAGUCCUCCGCUCCGCUCCACCACCCGCCGGAAGGUUCCAAAGCACUCGGUAUUCCUCUUCCUCCGCCUUUGCUUCCUCCACUUCCAGCUUCACCUCUCGCUCCUCCACCUUCUUCAACCGCACCGUCUCCCCCCCGCGCCUCAACGUCGCCACCGCCUCUCCCUCCGCCCAGUCCGUACGUUUCUCCUUCGACCGCCCAACCUCCCCCAGCCGAUCCAUCUCCGUCUCACCACGCGGCACCGGCAGCCACCACCACCAC